rnacentral:lncRNA from 1 species
AAAAGCCUUUGAUGAUACAAAAGCAGGUGUGAAGGGACUUGUAGAUGCUGGUUUAACAAAGAUUCCUCGUAUAUUCAACUGUCAACAGUUUAUUUUCCAGCAUAGCUCAAAAACUACAUCAGAUCAGCACAACGUUCCUGUCAUAGACCUUAAGGGGAACCUUGAAGUUUCAUCUUUCGAGGCAGACAUCAUUGACAGAGUUCGAAACGCAUGCGAAAAGUGGGGUUUCUUUCAGCUAAUCAAUCAUGGGAUUCCAAUUAAUAUCAUGGAUGAGACCCUCAAUGGAGUUCGGAGAUUUCACGAGCAAGACACUGAAGCUAAGAAACAACUUUAUACAAGAGAUCUCUCAAAAAAGGUAUAUUACGUGUCAAAUUUUGAUCUGUAUCAAGCUGGUGCGGCCAAUUGGAGGGAUUCUUUUGUUACUUCCAUGGCUCCUGAUCCACCCAGCUCUGAAGAAUUGCCUGAUGUUUGCAGGUAUGUUGUGAUAUUUGCUAGGCCAUAGUUUAUUUUAGGUCACUCGUAUACUUGAUGAGAAUGUGGAAUUGCAGAGGCGAAGUGAUUGAAUACACAAACCAAGUAAUGAAAUUGGCAAAUACCCUAUUUGAGUUGCUAUCACAGGCUUUGGGGCUCAGUCCCUGUCACCUCAGGGACAUGGGUUGUGCUAAGGGCCUCCUGUUUGUAGGUCACUAUUAUCCACCAUGUCCUGAACCAGAGUUCACCAUGGGCACGACCCAACAUACAGAUGGUACCUUCAUCACCAUACUUUUACAAGACGAAAUAGGAGGUCUCCAAGUUCUUCAUGAGGACCAAUGGGUGGAUGUGUCUCCCUUGCCCGGAUCUCUGGUAAUAAAUGUUGGAGAUCUUCUACAGGUAAGUAAAAUUCACUUUGGAAUUAGUCAUGGCUGUUAUUGUUAAAUCAAGAAUGCAAAGAUCUUCGUGUCUCUUUUUUGUGCAGCUUAUCUCCAAUGACAAGUUUAUUAGUGCUAAUCACAGAGUAUUAGCUAAGAAAGUUGGGCCAAGGAUUUCGGUGGCAUGUUUUUAUAGGCCACACAUUCAGACAGGAGGUAGCUCAGAAAUUUAUGGACCAAUUAAGGAAUUGUUGUCAGAAGAAAAUCCUCCGAUUUACAGAGAAACAGAUGUGAAGGAGUACAGGAGAAUUUACAUCUCCAAAGGUCUGGAUGGCACAUCUCCACUCGUACAUUUCAAGCUCGUUUAGGAACUUGGAUCCAUAUCUUUUGAAGCCUCGAUGGCGGUUUUUUAUGUAAUCGUCAAGUAUGUCGCAUUUGUAAUAAACUCGGUUUCAGAAGUGGGGGGAGCUAAAAGAACUAUCAGAAGUGAAAGAUGUGAAUUUUUAGUAGUUGGAGCUCUAUUACGUUUGAAGAAAGAGUGUAAGAACUUUGUGUAAUAUUUUAGACCAAUAAAACGUGAUUACGCUGCUUUGAUGAUAACUAAAUAUUUCAGAGAUGUCUUUUACACAUUCAAAAAGAAAAGGUGUUGAUUUGGACUUUAAUGUGAGAGUAUUAGUAAAUCAAAAAAGUAAAAGAUGUAUAGAAAAAUGAGAAAGAAAUGAGAUAGGCACUGAGAUCAAUUUAUUUGCAUCUUUUUAAGUCAAUUAAGGAUUUCACAACUAUUUAAUGAUGAUCAAACAUUUCACUAAUGUAUUUUACACAUUGACAAAGAAGAGAUGAUGAUAUGGACUUUAAUACGAGAGUAUUUGAAAAUCAGUAAAGUGAAAGAUGCACAGGAGAAUAAGAAAGAAAUGGGAUAGCCACUAGGAUCAAUUUAUUUGCAUUCUUUUAAGCUAGUGAAGGAUUUCACAACUAUUUGAACAUAGUUAAAAAUAACUAAAUAACAUAUUAUAUGAUUUUAACGGUAAAAUGCAUAUCUAAGUGAGAAGGGUAAUUUUAAAAGAUCACAAUACAGUGAAGAGCAAAAUUCUGAGCUUUAACAUGUAUAGUUAUUUUUACAUAGCAAAGGUGUUUUCAUUCAGUGAGUGAAGAAGUGAAAUCUAAACAGUAGUCAUUUGUGACGUAGGGUGAGGGGUUUCUUCUUUACAUGUAGAUUGGGAUAUGCCAUUUGUAGAUCCAAUAUAUGUUUUUUGUUGGUUAUAACAAGAGUGUUUUAAACUGAUUUGGCUUGCCAAAUAAGCAAAAAAGUAAUCAGAUAAAGGUUUUGUCAGUUUUUAAAAUAAAUAAUGAUGUAGUGGAAAAAGCAUUUGAAAUGUCAAUAUCAUAUUGUACUCUGCAAGAUGAAAGAAUAUAUAUACAUAUAAUAAGGGCGAGAUUGUUAAUAAAAGAUAGACGGUUUUCAAAUUUUUUUUAAAGAAAGAUGACGCUGGGUCAUGACAAUGCCCAUAUUUAGUUGCAGUUUCACAAAGAAAAAAAAAAGAAAAAUAUUAGUUUGAGAGCUUUUAAAGGUUUCAAAAGAGAUGAUGCUGAGAGGGAAGAUUUUUUUUACAACUCAUGAAAAUGACUAUACUGAGUUUUUCAAAAUAAAAGUUGAUGCCUUUGAAAAACAUUAGAGUGAAUUCAUUAAGGUUAUUUGGUUGAACGUACUUGAAAAAUGCAAUUUGUUUUGCACCCAUCAUUGAGUCCUUUGAUACAACAAAAUUUGAAAAAUGUAAUAUCUGCCAGAUGAGAUGGACUAAUUCUUCUUUUUUUUUUUUACUCUGUACUGUUUUUCUACUUUCAGUGUGUUUACACAUUUUUUUUUCCUUUUCAUAGAUAAUGUUGCUUAUAUAAUAUUCGGCUAAACUCCGGUGUUGAAAUUCUCACUUUUCGGCCCAAAUCUCCAUCGGAAUCCAGAAUCUCAAAACUGAAAUCUUUAUAAGGGUAAAAUAGGAUUUUUUAUAAAAUUAAUUUGAAGUAUUUUUAAACGUGUUAAAUAAAAAGAAAAAAAAAAGUUUUGUAAAGGUUUUAAGGUUCGGCUGCCGAAGGUGGUUUAACCACCUAUAAAAAGGGCUCUGCCCGAAAUGGAGAGAACUUUCUCUCCAUUUCGGGCAGAAGUGAGCUUUCAUAGCCUUUUCCUUCACAAUGCUUCUUUUAAGUAGUUUUCUCAUGAGCUUUUCCUUUGAUUUUGAAGAUUUGAGUUGUGAUUCAAAGUUCUAGCUCUUGGGACCCUCGGAGCUCAUCUCUCAAUCUCCUAAAUCCUUCCUUUGCUUGCUGCAAUUUUCCUGAUCUUCAAGAGGUAAGUUUGAUCUUUGCCUCCCUUCUUCUGCUGAGGUUAUUAAAAGAGGAAAAAGUAAUUUCUAUGGAUUAAUGAUGUAUGUAAGACCUUUUUUUAUGUUUUUGAGUUUAAAAUUUUGUUUUUGAGUAAUGGAGGAUUCUUCUUGUAUUGUUGUUGAUGCAUGAUGAGGAUUAGGUCAAGUAUAGAUGUUCCUUAUGUGUGUUAAAUGAGUAUGGCUGUUUUAAGCUUCUGCAUAUAUGUUUAGAAACCAUUUUGGGGCUGCAUGUUUAGGGCAGAAUCGAGUUUUGCCUUGAUGGAGAAUCCAUAUUCGGCAAUCGAAGCAAGGUUCGGCUGCCGAACCUGCCUGUGGAGGCAGCUUUUAGGCUACUGAACCUGCCCCCAAAGGUUUUAACCUUCGCAUCUAUGAGGGACCUUCGGCCGCCGAACCUGCCGCCGAAAGUCCCUUGCCCAGCCAUUUUCAUCUUGUUUCCUAUGUGUGUUCUUGUAUGUUUAUAGGAGUUUCUUGAGGGGUUGUUUUAAGCGUUGUAAAAGCUAUGUUUGGUCUCUCAUUUAAGUCCAUCUAUGUAGGAUCGGGCUUGGGAGAUCGAAGAGGCUUGCAGUGAGAUAACUGUUUCAGUACUAGGCGAGCGUCAGCCAAAGGUGAGUAGAACUAAACUAAAUUAUUAUUUAAAGAAAUCAAACUUUUUAAGCAUGCUCAUGCAUUAUGAAUUACAUGUAUAUGUAAUUAGGUUGUUUUGCAUUAGAAUUCACGAAUAUGAUGCAUUACAUAAUUUAUUGUUGUUGUGGAUAGAUGUUGGAUGACUCACUAACCCUCGAGUAUGUUAUAAUAUAUUAUGAUGGAUACAAAAAUUCAGGUCGACACCCAUUCUACGUCCCUGGCACUAUGGAUAUGUUAUGUUAUGUUUAAGAGGAAGUCCUGAGCAGCACCCAUUGUGGGCCGGACACUACUGGAAUAUAUAGAGGGUUACUGAUGAUAAAUCCAUCUUGAUGUUAAUUGUUUGUGUUGUGAUGCAUUCAUACGAUCAUAUGUUUUAUUGAACUGCUUUUUUAUAUUAUGCUCACUAAACCCUUGUGGCUUAUCCUUUUGCCCUAACUCCAGUUUUGCAGGAUCAGAGUUAGCUCGGAAAGUUGGCUGAGUUACUAGUAUAGUCUGUUGUAAUAGUAUAGCUAUGGACAUGUAUUAAAUUGUGGAUUAAAAUUGUGUUUUGUCCUAGUGUUUCCUUGUAAUCCCCGCUUCAUGAUCCUUAUAUAUAAAAGUUUUAAGUAUAUGUUAUGUUUGAACCGAACUUGAGGCAUGUUAUAUUGACCAUACUGGGGCAUUUGAUGAGAGUUCUAGUAUGGGUUUUAUGUUCUCAGUUAUGAUGCAUGCAUAGGUCGAGUCUUAGUUCAUGUAAUGAUUUUAUUUUUGUUGUUCGUGUGAUCAUGUAUGAGACUAUAUCAGGUAUAACCGGAUGUAUAUUAGACUUGCUAUGGAUUCUGAUGACCUUAAGUCGAUCUGAACCCUAGUGCCGGUAGCGGUCCGGUUCUCAGGUUGUUACAGUUUAGGAUUACAAUAAAGAAUAUUUCUGCGAGGUUCUUAAUGAGUUUGGUUUGCCUCGUCCAUGCUACCAGGCUUAGACUAAUGAUAAUGAAACUUUUUAUGUUAAGGUUGUCUAUUUGCAUCAUGAUAAUGAGGGAACUAUGACAAUUUCUGAUCAAUUUGGAAUUAGUAAUGUUAGCAUGAAAGAUACUAGGUAUAUUGUAACUGUUGCUGCUCUAGAUUUUUUGAAGACCAUAUAUAUGAAUUUGAAGUUUAGAACUACAAUUGUAGGGACUUUGGAGUUACGAAGAAUAGCUAUAUAUAUAUAUAAGCAUUUGCUGAACUACAAUUGAGCUCCCAUCUGGAGGCUGUGGACCAUCGGCCCACACAGACAACUGGAUUUAUUUAUGGGUUAUGUGAGUUUGUUAGUCCAAAUUCAGUUAUAGGAGUUUAUUGGUCCAGAAUAGCCAACCUAUUAUUAUCUUCUAAUUGGAAUUUAAUUGCAAAUAUUUUUAUUUUUCAUUUUUUUUUACUUAGACUAGAAAAAUUAUAUGCCAACAAAAUUUUUGAAUAAAUAUACAUAAUUUAUUUUUUUAUUAUUCAGUUAUAAUAUUAAAAAAUGAAAAUUUAAGUUAAAUUUAUAUAUAAAAAAAUUCUGUAGCAUUAAUAAAAUUUUCAAAAUUAAAAAAAUCUAAAUAAGUCAUAGCCCUAAAAAUAAUUUAAUUUGAUACAGAGAAUAUUUUUAAUAAGCAAUAAUUCAUAUUAAAUUUAUUUAUUUAAUUUUAAUUUUGAAAAAAAAACAUAUAAAAAUUAUUUUCAAUGGUGCAAUUUCACUAUAAAUAAUGUAUAUUAAAUUUUCUUACUUAAUUUUAAUUAUUAACCAUAAAGAGAAAUAUUUUAAAAUGCUCAUUACUUAUAAUAUGUUAUAAUACUUAUAAAUUAUCUUUAUAAAUAAAUAGUUCUGCUAAAUAAAUAAUUAUUAUUAUUGAUAUUGUUGAAAGCAAAAUAAUGAUGUAAUUGGAAUGGAGAUAUAUGGUGAUUGACUAAUUCUGCAAGACAAAUAAAAUGAGGUGGUGGGUAUCUACGAUAACCACUUCGAUGCUUAAGUCAAUAAACUGGAGAAAAUGGUGAAUUAAAGACUUGAGAGUAUUUGUGUGGGAGAAUAGCGUACAUUUGCCUUUAUGAUCGUUUUCCUUUUAUGCUGUAAGAAUGUGAUGAUAAAUAUAAUAUUUUUUGAUAAUUUGAUGUGACCGACUCGUUGGUAAAGGAACUUCACCGGCUACUUGAUCGAGAAUCCCAUGACUACAAACGUAAAGGGGAUCUGCUAGAUUAUAGCUGUUAAUGAUAACUUUGUUAUGGAGCCUCGCCUAAAGUUAAGAGGGCGAGUCUAUCCGAUCUGAGGUCGACCUGUCCUAAAGUGCCUAAGUCUUUUUUCUCUCGUUGUUUGGACCUUCCUUUCUAUAGGUGAGACCGCAUAUUAAUUUAUCAGAUCCUUACUACCUGACCCUAUUUUAUGGUAACAGUUCACUUCCUGCUUUGGGCAAUUGUUGUGUAACAUCAGAGGUCCCCCGCUGGUCUUUAAUUCUUUAGAUUUAAAGGUGACAACUAUUUUCAUGAAUUGGGCCAUGUGACUUGUUUGUCCAGGUUGAACAUAGGAUGUCCUUGCUUUCUUCUUACUUUCCCUACCGACCAGUUAGGUCCAAGAUCUUAUUUGGAAAAAAUUGAUCCGAGUGAUAUAGUAAUGUGUUGACUAGUUUUCAGGCUCGUUCUAGCACCAACCAGCCUUGGGGAUUAUCCAAAUAUUUUCCAGCCCUGUCGAGUUUCUAGCCCUAACCAUCCUUGACGAGCUUUUGAGAAUUUUUCAAGCCUUUACAAGCUCCUUUCGCUAGAGCUUCUAGGCAUUUUUCUAGCCCUGACAGGUUUUCAGGCAUUUUCUAGCCCUUGCGAGCUCUUUGGCUUUUUCUAGCCCUUGCGAGCUUUCUUGAUAAGCUUUCGGCCAUUUUUCUAGCUCUUGCAAUCUUCAGGGCAUUUUCUAAUCCUAGCGAGCUCCUUGGCCUUUUCCAGCCUUGACGGGCUUCCUUGUGUUUUUUUAGCCCUAACGAGCUUUCGAGCAUUCCGUAGCCCGUGUGAGCUUCUUGGCCUUUUUUAGCCCUUGCCAGCUUCCCACCCUUUGCGAGCUUCUAGGUAUUUUCUAGCUCUUGUGAGCUCUUUGGUCUUUUUCGGUUCUAACAAGCUUCCUUAACAAGUUUCAGGGCAUUUUUCUAGCCCUUUCGAGCUUCUGGGUAUUUUCUAGCUGUGGAGCCCACUUGCUUAUGGGAAUGAUUCUCACAUCAUUUGUAAAUGAAAUUGAAAUUGAAUAUAUAUUAGUUAAGCUAUAAACUACUGAAUAACUCAGGUUAACCAUUUUGAACCAAGUGAAAAGUGGGUAUAAAAAUUAUUUGGGUCAGUUUAGGCCGGACUGUUACAAUUGGUAUUAGAGCCACUCUAGGUCAAAAAAUUAUGCAGAGCUGGUAAGCCUACAAGGAAAGGGCUAUCCAUGCGAGACGAGGUGGAGCCGCCUGAGGUACUAAUGAACCACAAUACUCGAGAGUCCGGUCCUGGAAUAGCAAUUGUAUCCAAUUCAGCACAACAAGAUCGCAACAGAGACGUUGCAGAAUUUAGUGAGAGAGAGUUGUGGAGCCCACUUGCUUGUAGGAAUAAUUCCCACAUCGUUUGCAAAUGAAAUUGGAAUUGAAUAUAUAUUAGCUAAGUUAUAAACUACUAAAUAAUUUGGAUUGACCAUUUUGGGUCAGGUAGAAAGUGGGUCCAAAAGUCAUUUAGAUCAGUUUGGGUCGGACUGUUAUACUAGCUCUUGUGAGCUCCUUUGUCUUUUACAACCCUGAUGGGCUUCCUUGAGUUUUCCAGCCCUGACGAGUUUCCUUGCAUUUUCCAGCCCUGACAAGCUUCUGAGCAUUCCCUAGCUAGUGCGAGCUCCUUGGACUUUUCUAGCCAUUGCGAGCUUUCCUUGACAAGCUUCUAGGUAUUUUUCUAACCCUUGCAAGCUCUUUAGCCUUUUCCAGCCCUGAUGGACUUCUUUUCAUUUUCCUGCCUCACAAGCUUUCGAGCAUUCUUUAAUCCGUGCAAGCUCCUUGACCUUUUUCUAGCCCUUGCGAGCUUCUGGACACUUUCUAGCCCUUGCAAGCUCCUUAGUCUUUUCUAGCCUUGACGGGCUUCCAUGUUUUUUCUAGCUCUGACAAGCUUCCAAACAUUCCCUAGCCCGUGCGAGCUCCUUAGCCUUUUCUAGCCCUUGAAAUCUUCCUUGACAAGCUUUCGGGUUUUUUUUCUAGCCCUUGCGAGCUUCUGGGCAUGUUCUAGCCCUGUUGAGCUUUCAAGCAUCAAAUGCCUUAGAAUCAUUUUGUGAGGCGGGACUAACACCCGAUUAGUCAGCUUGACUUAUACCCACCUUGCAGCCUUGCAUGAACUUUCUUAUAAUCUUCUUGUGAAAUGGAAUUAACACCCGGUUAGUCGGCCUGGCGUAUACCCACCUUGUGGCCUAGCAUGAAAUCCCUUAGAAUCUUCUUGUGAAGUGGGACUAACACCCGGUUAGGCCUAGCAUAUAUUCGUCUUGCAGCCUGACAUGAAAUGCCUUAGAAUCUAUUUGUGAAGCGGGACUAACACCCGAUUAGUCGGUCUGAUGUAUACCUGUCUUACGGCCUAGCAUGAAAUGCUUUAGAAUCUUUUUGUGAAGCGGGACUAACAUCUUGUUAGUUGGCCUGGCGUAUAUCUGCCUUGCGGCCUGACAUGAAAUGCCUUGAUUAGUGGGUCUAAUGUCCAGUCUUCUGACUUGACAGAUUCCUAACUUAUAGCCUUGUUUCUGUGGGACUAAUAUUUGAUCUUCUAGUCUGACAGAUUCUUGAUUUAUGGCCUUGUUUUAGUGGGACUAAGACCCAAAUGGCUAGGCAAUUACCUUAUGGACUUUCUUUAUUUAUGUUUGUUUCCACAGUCCAAUGCCUGGAUUAUGGCUUGGUGACUGCCUUAUGGCCUAGCAUGAGAUACCUUGAUAUGCGGGAUACAUGCCUGAAUGAAUUUGUUUAUUUUCACAGUCCAACGCGCAGAUUAUAUGCAGGACCUAUGCCCCGACGGCCUUGUGUCUUUUAAUAAAUUUGUUUGUUUCCACGGUCCAACGUCCGGAUUGGGACCUGGCAAUGCCUUAUGACCUGAUAUGAGAUGCCUUGAUAUGUAGGACCCAUGUCCGGAUAGCCUUGUGGGCUUUUAUGAAUUUAUUUGUUUCCACGAUCCAACACUUGGAUUAUGGCAUAGCGAUUGCCUUAUGUGUCUGUGAGUCAUUCAGUGGAAUUUAUUUAUUUUCACCUAAUUUUUUUGUCAUUUUUCCUGAUCUACACUAAAAUAUGUAUCCGUGAGUCAUUCAAUGAAAUGUAAUUUCUAUACUUACCUCGGUUGCCCCUUCCUCGAAACUGAGUAAUUUUUGUGAUCUCCCUCAUAUACUUGCUUCUUUGGCUUUUGUCUUGCUUUAGGCUCGUCUUUUUAUCCUCUUCUUGUCCUCCAAGGUACCUUGGAGCAGCCCGUACUAGCUUUUAGCCAACAUCCUUUGGAGCAUCAUCUAAUGACUCCUCAUUCUCGAACUUGUCCUUCCAUUCAGACCGUGUCACAUUGCCUCUAUCCGAGUUGUGUCUGCAUUGCCCCUGUCUUAGACCUUAAGGUAUCAAUGGAGAGUUUCUUCCUUCCCCUGGGAGCCAUGAGUGAUGCCUCCUUAUGAGUUUUGCAUUGCUCGAAAGUAACCUGCAACCUUCUGACAUACUAGAGUAUUUGCUCAAUGCUCAUAUUAUUGAGAUCCGCCUAAUUGACCAUUGAAAGCGUAUUUUUUCCACUGCCAUUGGUGGAAGAAAUAAUGGCGUCUUCGUUGGUAGCAACCUUUGCAGCAGCUCGUGAAUUGUCGGCCAUUUUGAGAGAUAAAAAAGAGAUUUAUUUUUAAGAGAGAGAGGAUAAAAGAUCGGUUUUAAUCCAAAUGAACAGAGAGAAUUCAAUAGAUUUUCUGACAACGGAACCAAAUGAUGUUAUUGAAACUAAAAUGAUGAUGUGGUAGAAAUGGAGAUGUGUUGUGAUUGAUUAAUCCUGCAAGACAAAGAAAGUGAGGUAGUGAGUGCUCAUGACAUCUACUCUGACGCUCAAAAUAGUAAAUUGAAGAAAAUAGUGAAUGAAGAACUUGAGAGUAUUUCUAUGGGAGAAUAGCGAUCUUUCGUCUCUAUGACCGUUCCCUUUUUAUACUGUAAGAAGAUGUGGAUAAAUAUAACAUUUUUUUAUCAUCCGAUAAUGAUGUACCCGGCUUGUUGGUAAGAAAAUUUCACUAGCUACUUGAUCGAAAAUCCUGUAAUCACAGGCGUAAAGGAGAUUUGCCUAUUAAAGGUAAUUUGCUUAUAGAGUCUCGUCCUAAAGUUAAGAGAGCGAAUCUAUUCGACCUGAGACCAAUCUGUUCUGAAACGCUCAAAUUUUUUUUCUCUCGUCGUCCGAUCUUUUCUUUUUACAAGUGAAAAUGCGUAUUAAUUUAUUAAAUUUUUAUCACUUUAUUCUGUUUUAUGAUAACAUGUUACUGCCUAUUUUAGACAAUUAUUAUAUAAUAUCAAUUAUAAUAUUUUAAUUUUUCAAAAAUUUUUAUAUUAUUUUUCUAUUUGCUAUUAUCAUUAUUUUUAUACUAUAAAUAAGUGUGGUUAGUCCGUACAGUGAAAUCGCAAUUAAUUUCACUGAGAAUAAUUUAUUAAUUUUAAAUCCGCUGCAUGUCAUUGAUAUAGAUCGUAGAGAGUUUUGCAAAAGAAACAUGAGUCUAUUUUUUUUCCUUAAUUUUUUGUAUUAUUAUUUAUAAAUUUUAAAAUUAAAUUUUACUAUAAUCAUAUUGAAUUAGUUGAUUGUAACUUAUUUUAUGUUAUACAGAUUUUAAAUUUAAAUAAAUAAUUUGUAUGUUUCUAAAUUACCAUUAUUUAUAAUUUUUUACUUAUAAAUCCUUAUACCAUCAAAUUCAUUGUUUUCAAUAUUUUUUUUUAUAAUUAUAUUAACUAAUUGAUUGUAAUUAAUUUAAUAUUAUUUUGCGACUUAUUUAUUUACAUUUUUAUUUGGUUAUUCUAUUUAAAGUUAAUAUUUUUAUUUUAUAUAUUAUAUUAUAUUAAUUUCUAUUUUUAUUUUUUAUAUUGUAAAAACAUUCAUUGAUUUAACCGUGCGAAAGAAAGGAAAAGCAUUUAGGCAAAGCCCACUAAUAUUAAUUGAUCCAGGAAAUACCCAAUCCCAAUCCCAAUCCCAAUCCCAGGCGUGAUAAGAAAAGCAUUGCCAUUGCAAUAAUUAAUUUUUGAAUUAUGUCAGAUAAUAACUUACUUAGUUAAGCCCACAUGAGAAAUUAACAAAACAUCACUCAUUCAUAAUUAAUUUUCAACUUACACGCAACAUGCUUAAUUUGACAAAUUUAAGUCGUAUAAUUAUAAUAUAAUAAUUUUUACUAGUGCUACGGAAUUAUAUUAUGGGAUUAAACACACGAGAAUAUUAAAUAUAAUUUUAUUUUAAACUCAACAUAUAAGCAUUAAUAAUAAUAAUAAUAAUAAUAAUAAUAAAUUAAAAAUAUAUUAUUGACGAUGGAACUUAAAUUGUUGAAAAACCGUGUUCAUACAUUUAUAAUAUAUGAAUGUGAAGUAGGCUAGGCUCCAAACAAAACUUCCAACCCACAAAUAUUAUUAUAAUUUAUAAUUAAAGGCGGCAAUUGUUUAGACUUUUUCUUUGUCUACACUUCCUUGGCCGACGAUUUCAAAUUGCUCUGCGUUUGAUUUACUCUUUUUUUUUUUUUUUUACAAUAUUUUCAGUGCCUUCAGUCCAUGUUUACAUUUCUUUUGUCUAGACGGUACAAAUGUCUUAUUUUUCGAUUUAUAAAACAAAGUUAUUUCUUUUCUACCAUGCUUGCAAAAAUAGGGUUCCGGUAGCUUUCGUUUAAAUAAAAAAAAAAUUGAACAAAUUAAAGCUAAUUUAAUUUAAAAUUCAUUUUUUAUAUAUGUUUUAUCCCAAUAAAAAGGGGAGAAACCUCUUGUUUGCUAAUAACUGUUCCCAAUAAUGAAUCCUUCAAUCACCUCCCUUGACUCUCACAAGCUUAUAUUUAUUGUUUCAGAAGUUAUUUUAUUUAAAAUUGCCUAUUCAAUAUUAGUUUUUUUUUUUUAAAUAUUCUUAUAUCUAUUAAACAAAAUUUAAGUGCUUUUUUACAAUUUUUAAAAUUCACCUUAUUAUUAUAUUUCCAUCUCUUACUUAUUUUAAUUUAUAGUGAUAAACUAAUAGUAAGAAUUAUCAAAAAUUGAGUAAUUAUAUAAGAUAAAUGGCAAUUUAGUUAAAUUAAUAAAUACUUCUCGAUAAGUUAAGCAAUUUAAUUGCUUUCUUUAUAAUUAUGUAAAAAUUUUAAAUGCCAAGAUGGUGGAAAUGUCAAAUAUGAUUUAAAAAUUAAAAAAUGUGAUACAUAUAUAUAUAUAUAUAUAUAUAUAUAAUGUAAAAUAAUAAUUUUAAUUAUUUCAUUAUAAUUAUAUAUAAAUGGAAAAAGGAGUGAUCGAAUGAUGAAGGUAUAUAAUAAAAGAAUUUGAGACAACAGUGGAAAAUGUCUCCCGCUUUCCACGGGAGGGAAGAAAAACCGGAGGAUGGGUUUUCAACAGCCACGUGGCGGAAUGUGAUGAAAAGGCUGGUCAAUAAAUCCGUUUUUGAAAAGGUCGAAGCAACUGGUGCAAGACUGCAAGCUGCUCAGUUUUAUUUAUUAUUGUUGGACUGAGAAUAGAAUUAAUUAUUAAAUUUAUAUUUUUUAGUUUAAUAAUUUUACUUUAACAGCGAUAGCCAUGUAAUAUAAAUAUUAAUUUAUAGAGAAAAANNNNNNNNNNNNNNNNNNNNNNNNNNNNNNNNNNAAAAAACUUCACCUGCUUCCUUACUCAUAAAAAUUAGGUAAAAAAAAAAAAAAUUUCCUCCCAUCUCCAGAACUGAUCCUGUGCUCUUGUUCUUUCCUAUCUAACUUACAACCCAUCUAUUUGUCUUGCCUUUUGUUUUUUGAAUAACCAAAUUUAUAAACCCUAAAUUUUCUUAUUAAAUUAAUGUUAAUGUAUUUAUAAUAGUCCAAUUUAAAUUGAUUAAAAUAAAAUUUAAAUAUAUUUUUUAUAUGACUUAAAAUAAUUAAUUUAAAUUAUUUAAUAAUUUUUAAUUUGUUAAUAUAUACAAUUUUAAAUUUUUAUAAAAAAUCGAUAUGAAAUAUUUCAAUACUAGUUAAAUAAUGCAUGAAUUAAAUAGUUUGUUUAUAUUGAUUGCAGCAAUUAAAUAUUAUCUAAUAGGAAAUUACAUAUUAUAUUUUAAUAAAGGAUCCUAGUCCCAGAUCUUUUGCUAUAUAUAUUUUUCAAUUUAUCUUUGGUUAUCUGUUGCUGUGAAUAUCUUAAUUAGACUGAUUUUGAUAAUUGAAUUUCCCUUUAUAAGAGAGAUCCAAUUUAUAAAGUUAGUUGUUAAAACAGUUGUUGGCAUUAAAAAUCAUGUUAGUUUAAUUUAUUAAUUAGUCGAAUCUUAUUUCAAAUUAGAAUACAUGAUGAUUAAAUAUUUUGCUAUAUAUAUUUUUUAAUUUAUCUUCAGUUAUCUAUUGCUGUGAAUGUCUUAACUAGACUGAUUUUGAUAAUUGAAUUUCUCUUUAUAAGAGGGAUCCGAUUUAUAAAGUUAGUUAUUAAAACAGUUGUUGGCAUUAAAAAUUAUGUUAGUUUGAUUUAUUAAUUACUCGAAUCUUAUUUCAAACUAGAAUACAUGAGGUAUGAUUAUUAAAUCACAUCAUCAAAUAUAAUACUAUAUAUUAUUAUUGUCCACCAUUAUUAUUGCUAUAAUCACUAUAUAUUAUUUUAUUAUUAUUAUUAUUAUUAUAAAUAAAUAAAAUUUAUAAUACUAUCUAUAUUUAUUUUUUAUAUUUAAAAUUAAAAAAAUAAUUAAUUUCAUACAUAUAUUUUUAUAAAAUAUAAAUAAAAAAAAUGAUAUAACAUCUAUAUAUUUAAUUUGGUGGUAAAUAUAUUUAAAUAAAUAUAAAAAGUUUAAGUUUCUAUUCUCUUAAUUCCUGAUUUCUAUUUUAAAAAAAAUGAUACAAUUCAUCUCAACUUGCCUUUUUAGCGCCUAAGGAAACAACCGAAUGAGAUGGAUUGUUUUGUCGAAAUUAGGUUAAAAUUUGGGUCGUGGGAUUGAAGAUGAUGACGUGUAAUCCACAGAAGAGCAGGGCGAGCUAGGUGAUUGAAUUUUGAGCACCAUAAACAUGGACCUGAAAGAAAAGCCUACCAUGUUCCUGAAUUUCUGUUGGAUGAAUUGAUGUCUGUUUCUGCCCCACCACAUACAUAAGCUACUAACUUUAAUAUAUAUAAUAUUAAAAUGGUUGAUGGGUGGUCUACAUUUCAUUAAUGUAGAGUUAGUGGAUUCUCUUUCAAAUUAGGGUUUGAUAAAUAGUGUGGGCGAGUGGAGAGGCAGCACGUUGAGACAUUUGUUUUUAUUGGUGUUAUUAGAUGAGGAUUAUUUUAAUUAGAAUGACAAUAAUUAUUGAACAAAAGGAAGGGGUCCAUCAAUAUUUCAACUUUAGCUAUAAAAUAUUGCAUCUAUAUUUACUAAUAAUUUUAAAUUUAUUAACCAUGACACGUGAAUCCAUGUGAAGGUGGCCCUCUAUGUUGAGUGUGAGCAGAAAUUAUCUUAAAGGAGAUAAUUAUAUAAAUCUAAUUUUUAUUGAUGAUGCUACAUUAAUUACUACUAGUAAGGCUGAUCAGAAUUUUUCUUUAUUAUCAUUAAAUUAUUAAGUUAAUUUAGACGCAGCAAUGCGACAAAUAGGCUUAGACUAAAGAUUAAUAAUUAAAUUACAUCGAUUGACAUCUAAGUGGGACACGAAACUUGAGAUCCCAAGUUGAGUUUCGUCCUUUGGAGAUGAUGAAGCUAAUGAGAAAAGAUGAAGAAGAAGAAUAAAUAAAUAAAUAAAAGGAGUGGAUGGGGUGAAGUGAGCAAUGAUGAACGUACAUGGUUAAAGGGGUUUCCUACUUAUAUUAUAUACAGAAAUAUUCCAAUUAAUUGCCAUAAUUACACAAGGAAAUUAACCUUCUUCAAAUUUGCAUAACCAUAUUGGCAAUUGAUUAGUAUAUAGUUAACUGGCCUAAUCAUAUUGUUAGCAUUAUUGAUCUCACAAUCUGAGAUUAUAUUUAAUUAUAAAAUAAAUGGCUAUAUAUACAAUCGAUUUUGUCUUGGGCCACCGUUGUGGUUACAAUAUUAUAUAUGUGUUUUUUAAAUGUCAAAAAAAUUAAUAAUCAAAUGAUAUAUAAAGAUCAGAAUCAUUUCAACAUUUAAAACAAGUCAACUUUCGCAGGGACAUUGAGAAAUGCGACAUAAAUUCUUGAGUUUACUCAGUUCUGGAAAUGGCAGUAAGCUUAUAUGAUCUUUGUUAUCAAGACAAUUGAGAAGCAAGCUUCUGAAUCAAUUACCAUUUCUUUUUUACUAUGGACUGUAAUCAGCAAUUCAAAUGUUAAAAAUGUUACUUUGAUCUCAUAAAAAGAAAUAUAUAGUUAUGUUUUAUAUUUAAAAAAUAUAGUUAAUAUAAUUAAAUAAAUUAUUAUAUUUUCUAUUAUGGCUUCCACUUAAAUUAUUUAUUAAUUAAAAUUAAUAUAUUUUAUUUUUUGAAUUUAUAUUAAACAGUAGCAUAGAUAAAUAUUAUGUAAAAAGAAAAUAGAUUUAUCUUUUUAAUAUUAGAAAUCGAAGAUCGGAAGAGUAGAAUCUGAAAUCUCUCAUUUGCUUAAAUGCACUUACCAUUCUCGAAUUAAGUCUGUGAGUGCAAAAUAAAAGAAAAUAGAUUUAUAAUUUAAACGGAUAAAAGAAAUGGUAUUAAAUAUAUUUUAAAUAUGGUGCAAAAUAAUUAAGGGGAUGUUUUAAUUGUUUUUUCAUAUGACAUGACCAAGGGUUUACAAAUGAGUAAUGCUUUAGGAAUUAAGUUAAUUUACAUUUAUUCUCAUAAAUAUGAUAAUUAUUAAUAUUAUUUUAUAUCAAUAAUAGUAAUUAAUUAAAACAAAACGUUACGAAAAGGCAAAAAAAAAUUAUUUUUGAAUUUUGAGAUAUGAUCUACUUGAUAUCAUAUGAAAAAAUGAAAAUCACAAAUGAUUUAAAUUUUAGUUUAUUUUUGUCAUGGGGACACAUAAUGUUUAUUCCCAAGAAGAAAAAAAAUAUUAAAUCUCGAAGCAAGAGUCGAUUAAUUAUGCCUAGAAAAUCAUUCUCCUCCAUUAUGAACAGAGUAUUUCCCCAUUCUGCCACCAGAUUUGUCAUCCAAGAGAAAGAAAAAAAAAAAAAAAAAAAAAAUUCUAUGAGCCAUUCUCUAAGGGACAGAUCUUGCUCAUUAAGAGGCUCCCACACGAUGACACGAGGAUUGGAGGACAAAUAGGGAGAAGAGCCAGAGCCAUGCUGCAAAUGGAGGAAGCUGUUUUGCCUUGAGCAAACAUGUGGGGGCUAUGGAAUGCCCUAGCACUCUCCCACAUUAUCUUCCAAUUUGGCCAAAAUUAAUUGCCUUAUACAAUCCCCUCUGGUGAUGUAAACGGGUAGGGUACCCGCAAAAUUGAGGAUAUCCAAACCCGAAUUCGAUUAUAUAUAUAAUUUUCAAAUCCGUCUCAAAUUCAUUUAAUAUUUUAAUUUUAUUAUCCGAACCCGUCCCAAAUCCGUUUAACAAUACCCGCACAAUACCCGAACUCGAUUUUUUAAAUUCAAUAAACUAGCAAAUAAACUUCUUAAUAUUUGCACAAUCCAGCAAACCCAACAGUAAAAUGAGAAAUGUUCAAUGACAAGAACCAGCAACUCAGCAGCAACCCUGCAUAUAAUGAUUUAUAAUCAUUAAUUGUUCAUAAAUUCUAAAAAUCAACAGUAUUACAUUAAUCAAAUAUAAUCAAUUUAAUGACAAAAAUUACCAAAUAAACUACCUAACAGUGGAAGGAAAAAUGUUCAAUGUUAAGAAACAGCAAAUCCAACAACCCAGCAGACCCGGCAGACCCGGCAGACCCGGCAGACCCGGCAGACCCGGCAGACCCGGCAGACCCGGCAGACCCAGCAGACCCAGCAGUAGAAGGAGUAGAAGGAGAAAUGUUCAAUGACAAGAAAUAGCAGUAGAAGGAGAGGGAAGAGUUGUCUCCCACUUACCAGUCGGCGAUGCCGCCGCUGGAGAGAGAGAAGAGAUAUCGCUGACCGGGGAGAAAGAAGAUUUAUCGUCGAAUGGGGAGAGAAAGGAGACGUCGCCGGUGCCGACUGCCAGCACUCGUAGUGAAGCCCGGCAGACCCAGCAGACCCGGCAGACCCGGCAGACCCAGCAGACCCAGCAGUAGAAGGAGUAGAAGGAGAAAUGUUCAAUGACAAGAAAUAGCAGUAGAAGGAGAGGGAAGAGUUGUCUCCCACUUACCAGUCGGCGAUGCCGCCGCUGGAGAGAGAGAAGAGAUAUCGCUGACCGGGGAGAGAGAAGAUUUAUCGUCGAAUGGGGAGAGAAAGGAGACGUCGCCGGUGCCGACUGCCAGCACUCGUAGUGAAGUGGGGGAGAGAGGCCUUGACUGGAAAGUGGGAGAUGUUGCCGACAGGAGAGAGAGAAGGAGAUAUCGCACUGUAGAGAGAGAAGAUUUAUCGGGGAGAGAAAGGAGACGUAGCCGGUACCGACUGGGCUGCCGACAGUUGUCAGUGAAGUGGGGGAGAGGUGUCGACGAAGAGAGGAAAGGGACGCAGGGGAGAGAGGCGCGAGAGGAAAGGAACGCGAGAGUCGUCGACAAAGAGAGGAAAGGGACGCAAGGGAGAGAGGCGCCGACGGAGAGAGAAAAGAGUAAAAUGAAAAAGGAAAUUAGGGUUAGUUUGUUAAUAUAGGUAAUCGGGUUAGGGUAACGGUAUCCGAUUACCUAAUUCCGAACCCUACUCGAAUCCGAAACGGGUAAAAUUUUUUAAAUCUGAAUCCGCUCAAAUCCGUUUUGUAAAAACCCAAAUCCGUCCUAAUAAGGUUUGGGCGAAUUGGGUACCUGUAAAAACCUGCCCGCCUGACAUCCCUAAUCCCCUCUCUAAAUAAUCCUCUUUCUUUCUUUUUAUUAUUAUAUAUAUAUACUAAAACAAAUAUUAAAAUUAGCUUUUACAUUAAUGUUAAUUAAUUUAACUGAUAUAAAAAUUAAUAUAUAGUAAUAAAUACCGUGAUAUAUGAAAAUAUAAUAAUAAUAAUAAUAAUAAUAAUAAUUGUGAAAGUUAAUAAAAUAAAAUUUAUUGUUGCCGUUAAUUUUUUUUUAAUAAUUGCAAUUACAAUUUUAUUACAAAAUAUAUAUAAUUAUAAUUUUAGAGCACCAAUAUCCAAUAAUUUAUAAUAAAUUUUAUAUUUUUUAAUAGCAAAAACUUUUACUCUCAAAUUUCGUAUCCCAUUACACAUCUGCAUUCUGCUCACAUGUAAUUUCCUUGAAGAAAGCCUGGAAUACUAAUAAAGAGUAUCUUCAAUAUUUUUGUUUAAUGUUUCCCCAUUAUUUAUAACAUUUUGGUGUCUAGCAGCCAGUUUCUAUAUUUAAAUUGAGUUGCAAUGUGAUAUGUCAGUAAUAAAAUUAAAUUCCCACUAUUUUCUAUAUCAAAGAACAAAGAGAAAAUCCGUUCGUGCAUAAAAAAAAAAAGAGAGAAAAGCCAGAACAUGUUUUACUAAACAUUAAAAAUAUAUAUAUAUACACACACUUAAACUCUAUUUCUAUUGAGCAAAAGAACCAUCAUGAAUAAUUUGUUAGUGUUUAAGGGAAAAAAAAAUUAAUAUAAAAUAUAGGAUACUGUAUCCUUUUUUAUAUAAAUAAAUAACACAAAUCUUUUUGUUGAAAACUCCGCAACAACUCCAUUAUGCAAUUCUAAAGAAAUUAGACCAUUCGUUCCAAACAUAUUAAUUCCUUUACUAACUCUGGUUAAAACAUGCUCAGCAUUAAAGAUCUCAAAUUAGAUGAUAAAAUCAUGUACUGAUAUUAAUAUUUUAAAAAAUUCAAUACCCACUAUCUUUAGUGUAAAUUGAGAAGCAAUCUUAAAUUUUAAAACAAAUUAAUGGUGGUAGAUAGGAAGAACUCAAAACUUGUACAAGAAUUCUAUCAGCAUCUUCUAUAUCUCCCAAGUCCAGUCCAUCAUAUAAACCGUAACACAGAUUGUAACAUCAGUCUAAAUAUACAAAAAAGAAUCAGAGUAAAAUAUGGGGGAAACACUAGAAGAGGAAAUUAAUAAAUAAUAAUAAUAAAAAACAGGAAGUUGAGACUCAAUUAAGAAAGCAGAAGGCAUCCUUUUUUUUUUUUUUUUUAUUGCAAACAGAAGGGGGAGAAAAGAGAAAAGGUAAAACCAAAUUUUAAUUAAUAUACAUUCACAACCAUGAUUUUAUCUUCUACUAUGAUUUUAAUCCCUACCUUUGAGUACAACACAAUAGAAAGAUCUUGAAAAUCUCUUGUUUAUCUCCUCUACUUAGUAAGGCGGCCGCGCAUGAGCCCAAGCAUAGGCAUCGUGCCCUAACUGACCUCCAUUAGGGAUUAGAUUCGGCGGCAGAUUAUAAACCGGCAUCGCAGAGGGAUCUGGCAGCCCAGCUUGUCCUCCGCUGCCUCCAAUAGGUGGCGGUGAGUUACUAGACCCACCCUGGAUCUGUCCCUGCCCUCCACUACCAGCUUCCUCGUCAUCCUCUAAUGGCAAUCUUUCAUAAGUGGCAUUAGCAAAUGUUGCUGCAAUUACCAUCACUGGCCCUGCCGCUACCAGUGAGCCCACCACACUUCCUCCGACUACUUGCCCUUGUCCGCCAGCUAGGUACACGGUAAGCCCGGUGGAACCAGGUGGGGCAGGUCCAGGCAAAAAAGCCCCUGUUAAGGACAAGAUCUCAAACCUUCCAUGAAGUGCCACUACGGCUCCAGGUGCUGCAGGCUGUCUUAGGGUUACGUUGGCCACUGAGCCACUGCCACUAAGUACACAGACUCCCCGUUGACGCCUUCUGGCAAACUGUGCUACGCUUUCAGCUAUAUCAGCUCCGCCAACAACUUCCAUGACAUGGCUGCGCAGGGCGUUAGGGCUGUCGCGAGUGACAAAAAUGGGUGGUUUUGGUUUGUUUUUAGAUCCAGGAGGGCGACCUCGGGGUCUUCGAGUACCAAUUUCAACAGCACCCUCUUUAGGUUCAUCGCCUGUGUCUUUAUCUUCAUCAUCGCCGCUCCUGUUACUGGUUUCGUUGAUGGAGAGUUCUCCCUUAUUAAGAGAAGAUGAAUUCGAUGAAGGAUCGAGGCCUGCCAGGCCAAUAUGACCGGUCCACCAAGGAUUAGCCAGGGUUACAAAUCGAGAGAAAACGAUUGGAGAAGUAGAGAGGCGAGGCUUAAUUUGGGUUCUGGCAAAGGUUGAACUUUGGAUUGUUAUUUUGUUCCCUUUUGUAAAAGGUUUCAAAUCAGAGAGUCAAAGCAAUGAACAGUAAGAAAACGAAGAAUAGUUUGCCUUCUCAAUAGGGUUCUUGUGUAGGCUGCUAUGCUCUGAGUCUUUCACAUAUUUUGAUGAUGAAGAGAGGGACGAGAGGUUGUGACGAGAGAGAAUUAGAUGCAAUUUCUAAUAUGGAAUCAAGUAAAGAGAAGAAAAGAAAGAAAAGAGGCCUUUCACAAGCUAAGAGUAGUACGAAAGAUCAACGACCCAGAAGUGAUCUCAAUAGAAAGAACAAAGAACAUAUGCAAAUCCCAUAAUAGAAUCAAUUGAGCAGAGAGAGAGAAUAAUAAACAAAGCACAGAGAGAAAUGAAAAGUUAAUGAAGAUACAAAAGAAGAAAAAUCCUCUCUUUCACUCUCGAGACAACAAUGGAUCAAAUGUCUAAAUUUCUAAGUAACUUUCAUUGAAUGUUGGCUUGUGUUUUGUGUUUUGUGUAUGUAUUGCGUNNNNNNNNNNNNNNNNNNNNNNNNNNNNNNNNNNNNNNGUUUUACUUUGUAGGCACUACUUAAAGCCACAACAACAUAUAAGCUCUUCUUUUAGAGGUCAUUGAAAUUAGGGUUUCGUGGGGUAGCGUGCGCGUGGACAAAUGCGGGGGCAUGUCGUUUUCUCGUGCCCCAACUCGACAAUUCAAUAGAGAAAGAGAAAGAGACCCAUUUGAUGGACGGACUAUCUUCGGCCUUUCAGCAUCGCCAUUGUAGCUUCUUCUUCUCAUAACCUUUUCCUUCCUCUUUAUUUGUCUUAUUAAUUUCCACUUUUUUUGGGCCCUUCCAUGUAAAAGACUUAUUGGUGGAUGUUCAAACCCUAGCUAACUAUAUAACUCAACAAAGGGAUAAUGAUGUAUGCUUUCUUCUUUCUUAUGAAUGUAAGAAAUAAUUUCUUCCCUUUUCUCCCAUAAUUUUAUAUAAAUAUUUUUUACUAUAAAGAAAUUAUUUUACGCAAAAAGAUUAUUCCAAUUAAUAAUUGAUGAUAUCUUUUCUUUCAUAUUAAUUAGUAUUUUAUUAUGAAAAAUAAUGUCGAUAUAUAAGCAUAUGUCACUAAAAACAUUUAGGAAAGCAACUUAAUAAUUUACUGUAACUAAUAGCUUUUAUGAUUUUAAUUAAAUUAUAUUUAACUAUUGUUCUUGAUAUAUAAAAUCAUUAAUAAUGAUAAUUAUAUCUAUACUUUAUUAUUGAAAUAUACAUAAAAAAUAUUAAUUUAUUAUACAACUUGCAUAAGGAUUGAAAAUAUAAUUUUGAUUAUAAAUAUUCAAAUCUAUUUUUAUCAUAUAAGAUUAAUAUUAUCUAUUAUUUCUUAUAAUUAUGAAUAAUUUAUUAAUAUAAAAAUCUAAUUUAUUAAUUUUAAAAGGAUAAUACAGUAUUAAAAUCAAAUUAAAGUUACAGAAAUACUUUUUUUUUCAAAAUUAAUACAAAUUGCAAUAAAUAGAUGUUAGCUAUGUAUGAAUUGCAGUUAUGAGAGAGGUUUAUCAAAUAAGUUGGUCUAUUUAAAUAUUUAUUAGCAAUCAAUUACUAUCAAUAAAAUUGAAAUACUUUAAAAUGAAAAUAUAAUUCCAUUAAUUUUAAUGUAGUUAAAAAACAUUAAUCAAAUUGGAUAUCAAAGAAUAAAAUCAAAUUUAUGAAAAUGAUAUUAUUUUGAUUGGAAAAUUAUAUUAUAUCAAUUUUUUUUUACUUGAUAAGGGAGAAUUUUACUAUUCCCAACUUAAAAUUAAUUAUUUAAAGUUAUUUGAUGGUAAGGUUUGAAGUUGGAGUUUCAAUAAUAUAAAAUUUAAUAUUUAAAUUAAUUUUACCACGAAAUAUGAAAAUAUGCAAAUAUUCAAGGUCAAGGACCUUUUUUAAAAAAAAAAAUUAUACAAAAUUAUCAUUAUUUAACUUAUUUAUAUAUAAUAAAAAUUUUAGCUACUAUUUACCAUAGCAGUUCCAAAAUUAAAGUUUUAUUUAAUUAAAGAAUUUAUACUACACUUAAUAAAGUUGUUCAUAAUUUAUUAAUGACAUUUUUAUUACGUGCUAGUCUCUUGUUGCUAGAAGAAGCUUCCAACCUUCUUUGUAUUUAAUAUUUUUGUAUUAAUUUUUUUUUAAUAAUUUAGAUAUUAUAUAUAUAGUAGUGUUAUAAGUUAUAGGAAGUAAAUAUGUUAAUAUAAAAAGUAAAUAUUGAUAGAUGAAUCAGUUGUUUAAUCUUAGGAAUUGUAUAAUCACAGAUUUGAUUUUGCUUUUUGUUUAGAUACCGUCUCUCAUGUAUAAAUAGAUUGUAAUUUCUAUUGUAAAAUACAACAAAUAUUAUCUUUGUACAUGGUUUCAAAACCUCACCUAUAGAGAUUUAAAUUUUAUUUGGAGAGUUAGAACUCUAUUCAUUUGGGUUACCCACAUAGGAUAACAUUUGGAGAUUUAGAUCUCUGUGUUCAUUUGGUUUACCAAUAAAUGGCAACAUUUGGAGAUUUAGGCAUCCUUUCAUUUAGGUUACCAAUAAAAGGUAACAUUUGGAGACUAAGGAUUCUACUCAUUUGGAUUACCCAUAAAGAGUAAUAUUUGAAAACUUAGAGUUCUAUUUAUUUGGGUUAUCCAUAAAAUGUAAUAUUUAGAUAUUUAGGGCUUGUUCAUUUGGAUUACCCAUAAAAGAUAACAUUUGGAGACUUAGGACUCUAUUCACGGCUACUGUUCACCGGGUAUUGUUCACGAGUACUCUUCACGUGUACUAUUCACAGGUACUGUUUUUCUUAUCUUUUGUUUAUUUUGAUUAUUUUGAGUUGAUUAUCUUUAUGACUGAAGUUAAAACCACCAUGUGAUUCUUGUGAUAAUUAAAAUUACGGAACACAAAUUCAAUAGAUCUAAUUUUUUGGAUUAGAGUAAAACUAUCCAUAUUUAAUUACGAAAUAUUGAAAUGGAUGAUCAUCUUACCAAGGAUCUUCCAACUGAUGAAACUCGUAGAGAUUGGAUGAGGGAUGAUGUUCGUUUGUUUCUGUAGAUUCGAAAGUCUAUUCAUAGUGAGGUGAUUAGUCUUGUUAAUCACUGUGAAUUUGUUAAAAAAUUAAUGGAGUAUUUAGAAUUUCUAUAUUCUGGCAAAAGGAUUUGGCUGAAUCUGAAUAUUGAGUCAUGGCACAAGUCGUUUGUGAAGUAUUGUGGGUACGUCAACUAUUGAAAGAAGUUGAGUUCAUAAAUUCGGUGUAUAUCUUCACUAAAUCUCUAAAUAGAACUCGAAUUGAUUAUAUAUAUAAUAAGUUGGGCAUGAUUAUUAAUCAUACUCUAAUUUAAAGAGGAGUGUUAUAGAUUAUAGGAAGUAAAUAUAUUAAUGCAAAAAGUAAAUAUUGUUAGAUGGGUCAGUUGCAUAAUGUUAGUGAUUGUAUAAUCACAAAUUUGAUUUUGCUUUUUAUUUAGAUAUUUUCUCUCAUAUAUAAAUAGAUUGUAAUCUCUAUUCUGAAAUAGAACAAAUAUCAUCAUUCUAUAAAUAGUAACCUAUUUAACAUCAAAGAAUAUUUACAAAAUAAUUUAUUAUGUGGAAAAAUUUUGUUUAUAGACACUUGUCUAUAAACAAAAUUUUUCAAAAUAUAAAUAAAUAAAUGAUUUUUUUAUAUAAAAUUAACUAGAAUCCAUUUAUUUAUAUUGAAUUCAUACUGUACUAAGUAUAAAUAAAAAUUACUCUUGUUAUCUCUUUUAAUAUUUGGUGUUUUUGGCACACACUUGUAAGAAAUCUCAAUUUAAAUCUGGGUAUAUAUGGGGAUGGACGAAUUUAAAAAAAAAAAAAAAAAAAAAAAAACUUUCACCAAUUGUUACAUAUGAUGAAUAGCUAAAAAGUUAGUAUUGUAGUCUCUAUCUUCAAACUUUAGUUUUUGUUUUUUUGAAAUGAAAAUUGAAAGACUAAAAUUUAAAACUCUCAAAUUUAUUCAAAUACACUUAUCAUCGGCUUAAGUUUAUCGGCUUAAGUUUACGAGUCCCUUCAAACUUUAAUUAAAAGAGUAAAAGUAUUGUAAAUAUAAAUUGGCAAAUUAGGGCAAGGUAAAUCACAAUUAUAUGUUGAAUCUAAGAAGAUUCUAAUUUGGCUUCUUCUUUCUCUAUCGAUAAUUGGAAAAAAUAAAAACAAUAUAAUUAUUGUAUGGUACAACCAGGAGAAAAACGAGCUAGCACUAGCAUCAAGAUUUUAACAGUUAGAUUGCAAAAUUGUUGAAUUGAUAUUCUUAAACCAACCGUUUUAAAUUAUUGUAUAAAGUUUUAAUUUUUUUUAUUAUAUACAACAAUAUAUUUUAAUAAUUAAUUUAUUUUAUAUUUAAUAAAAUUUUAAUAAUAAUUUUUAUCCGUUAUAAAAAAAAAUAAAUUAGUAUUUUAUGUUGAAAAUGAAGGUAAAUACCAUUUAUUGCCACAAUUACAUAUAUAAAAACUUGCUUAAAUUCAAUCUAAUAAUGUUGAGAAGGUGUUACGAUUUGGUUUGAACCUUCAUAUUCUCUAUUUCUAAUUGAAACAAAUAAUUAAAGUAAACAUAUUUAUUUUUAUUUUAAUUGAGUGAUACAACAUAUAUAUAUUUUUUAAUAAUCAUAAAAUUACUUGAAGAGAAAAAUCUCAGUCCAGUUUUUACCUUACCUGCAGUUUAAUUUCCUAGGGGGAAAUUAGGCUAUAGCCUUGGUUUUGUUGAUUGUAGCUAUAUUUUCUUUUUUAUUGAUAAUAAUUAAGUCACUUAAUAUUAUAUUUUAUAUAUUUUUUAUGCAUUAGCUAGUAAGUAGUUUCUAAAAUUGUGAGAAACUUUAUAAUAUAAUUAUUAAAUGUAGAAUGUUAUUAUAAUUCUAAUUAUGAUUCUUCCCAUAUAAAUUUUAGCAUAAUUAAAAUUAAUAUAUAACUAUUGCGUAGAUAUAGAAGCAUUGAUUUUUUUUUCACUGACCUGCAAAUGGUUAACAGCUGAAAAGGGAAAUCAGCAUGAGAGUUGCAUUAUGCAGCACCUGCUUUUGGCUUUCUGAAAACCUGCGACGAUUUUAUUGGACUCCCACUCCCUAUAGCUUUUGGCUCCAUAUUAUAUUUAAUGAAAAUUAUUUAUUUAGACAAUUUAUAUUAUAUAGAUUUAAUUUACAACAAUUAUAACGGAUAUACGCAAAUAUGAAUAUAAAUGUAUUUAUAUUUUGAAUUCACAAACAUCAAAUUAAGAGACAUAUAUAUCAUCAGAUUUUUCUUUCUUUUUCUCUCUGUUCUUUUGUGAUUUGAUACGUUGACAACUUUGUAAAUUGAGCUCUCAAAAGUUUAUAUAUAGUCGGUGUAUAUAGAAAAUAAUAUAUUAAUAUUUCAUAUGUACAUGAUUUCCAAAAAAAAAUUAUGCUUACAUACAUAUAUAUGUGUGUGAAUUAUUUCAAAUAUAUUAUUUCUGUUAAAACAUAUACAGAUAUUACAUUAUAUGGCAAGUGACUUAAAAAGUUUAACUCGUAAAUGAUCAACUACAAUUACGAAAAUAAAUUAAAUUGCUUGANNNNNNNNNNNNNNNNNNNNNNNNNNNNNNNNNNNNNNNNNNNAUUAUAGAUUAUAUUUUAUACAUGUCUAACUUUUAUUGAAUUGUCAUUCUAUAACAGAUUGUCUAUAUGGAAUCACAGUCGAGGAUCGUAAGGUAUAAAGUGCAAACGAGUCAAAUGAAUCAAAAAAGAAAGGGAAAAGAAAUUGCACGGCCCUCACCAUUAAUCAGUUUGAGGUCUUUUACUUACCAGCUCUCAUGCGUGACUAUCACUCAAUGAGUAAAAUCUAGGGCAAGUUUUCUUUUUGUGCUGACCCAACCAGAUAUAGAGAACUUUCAUUCUUCAUCAACCGGUGCUAAAGAGCAAAGACAAUUAUGCUUGUUCCAAAAGCAAAAGCCAAUAGCAGUGUCAUAAAUUGAGUGAGAAAUAUGAGAUUAUAUCAUCAAAUGUGCAUCAUAGAUAUUUAAUAUAAAGCUAUGCAAAUCUAUAAACUAUGCAUCAUAGCAUACCCCCAAAACUGGCAUUCGUUCCAUCCUUUUAUAGACCCAAUAUCCUGUUAUCGCAGAUCAUACAAGUAAUAUUCCAGGAUCUUCCCACUUCAUCCAUCGAACAAGCUAAACUAAACUAAACUAAACUAAACUCAACUCCAAAAUUAACCAAUUAUGAGAAAAUUGGAUAUAUAGACUGGCCGGGCUUGGUAAACGACUGCUUAAGGUUAUUCAGCGUGUGAAGCUGAAUAUCCAAGGCAGCCAACUUUGCAGCAAAAGGCUCAUAAGAAAGGGAAAUCCAAUGAAAAUCAGACAGAUGGUAAAGCGGACGUAAUGUCACACGAUAAUGAGAGAUUGCUGGGAGGCGUUAUCGAGAUGGCAUAAAAGCAGGAAAGCUCUUGAAAGACGGAGCUAGUUUUUUUUACCUUCUUUCAUAAUCUUUCACCUAGAUUGGAAGGACUACAAUAGGACAUCUACAGGGGUUUAAGAUACCUACCUCCGUUGUGCACGAGUGCAAUGUUUUUACCAUCUCCUUUUCUAGCUGAUAGACCGUUUCGUACAAGAAAAGAACUCUGAUUCGCACCGGUGCAAGCUUACAAUCUAAUCUCCCUUUGCGAGUUUGAGAAUUUCACAAGACGGAUUAGUUCCUAUCUCAUCUUCACGCCUCCAUGACCAGUAUUUCGAGGUGUUAAAUGCACAGAUUCGAGGUGGUAGAAAUAGGCAUAAAGUGUAACUAAAUAUCAGAAUUCUGACAUCAUAAAGACUUGAUUACAGACCCCAAUGGCCUCCUUUACAUAGGAUUUUCAAUAUGGUAUUUUUCAACAAAUCCACAAUUGCUUACAUCACGUGUCACCCAACCACGUUUACUGCUAAAAUUUGCCCAUGUAAGGGUCCAGUCCACCUUCACUCAGAGCUCAUCCCGCAGCAUAUAUGCUACGAAGCAAACUUUCUUCUAUUCUCAACGCCAGGAUCAAGGCAAGUCGUGUAUGGGAAGAUUAAUAAAAGAGGUUCCACAAGUCUAUACUUGCACUUACCAAAAGAUCCUGCAGAACAAGACCAUAAUCAGAUAGUUAAUCCAGGCAUCAACAGAGUAGUGUUCCUCUUUUCCAGUGCAGGUUUCCUACACGAGUAUAUGCUACAAUGUGGUCGAACUUACAGCUUAGUUGAAACAAAACCACAAUAUUGAAAAAUAUACAGAUAUCAUAGGAGACUAGUAACUUAGCAUCAAGCAGUUGCUUUCAAUUAUUUGUAGUGUAGAAACAUUCUUACUGUUAUCAUAUUAACCAAUAGAAUUUUUAAGAAAUGGAACAAAAUUGCUUGUGUUCACAACCAUAAGGGGAUCAAAUACCUAAUAAGGUAAUAUAUAAUUAGAAAGGAAACAACAAAAACCCCAGCAAGUAUGCAUGUUCUCCGACCUGAUUUCUUCUCGAAUACCUACAUAACAAAAAAUCAAUAUUACACCACCUUUUCCAAGCAGCUAGGACAAAUAAAAAUAAAGAUAAGAUUUAAAAAAAAAAACAGAAGACUGCAUCUAGUUUACAUACCAUCUUGAAUCGAUCCAUGGUUCCUGACAUUAUACCCCUUGAUAUGUCCAUUUUGUUGCCCUGAGUUUACAGUAUAGUCUAAUCAAAUAAAGGGCCACAAGUUGUUUUCAGGACUGUUAGAUGAAGAAAAUACAUGCAAGCAUACCAUUCGAUCAAGCAAACGAUUAUGACUCUCCACUUCCUCAUGUAUGUCCCCUGUUAACUGCAUAUAAAAAUUAUACAUGUCAUAAGUUACUUAAAAAAUGAGAAUAGACAGUUAUGAUUACCAGAAAAUAAAGGCCGACAUUUUUAAAAUACUUUUUUUUCCACUCAGCAAAACAUUUAUAAUGCAUAAAACACAAACUAAUUUAAUUUCUGUUAAAUUUAGAAAUAUCACUUCUGGUAAUGCAAGUAAGAAUCAAUCAGAAUGAAAACACUUUUCAUACACAGGAAUGAUAUUCACAAGUGAGAUUUUGAGACAACUUAAGAGAAUUGAAGUAUGAAUGUACGGGAUCUAGAUGGAGAAGCAACUAGGAAGGAAGGUAUGUGCAUGGAACAAAUUUAGGGCCAGUUUUAACUGCUCCAGGCAUCAACUCAACAGAGAAUUUGAUAUGUAUUAUUUGGUUCGUGAUAAUUGUGAAAAUUCACUACACGCUUGACAGCAUGAGCAACCGCAGUUUUCAAAAACUAUAUAGAUAUGAAAUUUAUCUAAAUAUAGAGGAGGGAUUCAUGCACAAAGCAAACCCAAGUAGAGGUUUAAGGAUUACAAAAUGAAUAGCUUGAUGGAUAGAAAUGGCAAUUGAGGUCCCCAGCUUUCAAUACCUAUCAGAUCAACAAUGUGGGGUAUUUGAAGAUGGAUACUAUAGUGCAAAGCCCCAUCAAGACCAGCGAGAAGCCCUCAAUGGCAUCACAUGUGCAAAUUAAAUAACCAUGCAUAUCAUUUAUCAAAACUAUGGACUUAGUCAUACCUAUCACUGUGAACAUGUGAAGACACAUCUGCUAUUCCUCUAAAUAUGAUGCUUACAUUGUACUACAUGCUAUACAUCUGCAGUUUAUAAUACUCAAAUAUACAAUGGCAACAAGAUUUUUUAAAAACAUGUCGACAAAAGUAUUGCACAUAUCAUCUGAGCAGAAAGUAUAUUGUUGUAUAUAUUUCAGGAUUCUGCAAAGAACUUGACUACCCAAAUUGAAUGCCAAUUAAAAUUUAAAGCAAAGAACGGUCUCAAGUUUGAAACUUACUCUCUUCAAGAAAAUUACUCUGUCUUGCAAACUGUCAAUAGCUUUGUCAUUGUCGUGCUCAUUAAUACUAUGGGAAUAUGAAGAAGAGGCCCUAAGGCCGCCUUCUUCAAGGCCAUCAUCGAAUAUAGCUGACCUUGAAUUGCGGAUGUCCCUGCCAUGAUUUUGAAAGAUGGAUUAACAAACUAUAUAAAUGUCCAUUAGUUAUCGGGCUUGACACUCCACACAACUUAACGAGGGAUACACAUCUGUCUUCAGAUGUUGAAUUGAUUUCGAGAGGGAAAAAAGGAUCAGAUUUUCUAACCAUCAAAACAACGUAAUACAUUCAUGGCUGAAAUACAAAUUCAUAAUAAUCUAAAUCAAUAUCAGCUAAUUUCCUAAGUGGAAUGAUUAAAAAAAAAUCAGCACCAUGAGAUCAACCAAAAAAAAAAAAGAGAAUGAGCCUACUGCCUUCACCCAGCUAAAAGAAAAGCUUCAGUUAAACAUAUGAUGCUGAUGAAAGAUCUAAAUAAUGAAUUUAAACAUAAAUCAUAUAGUUGCCCUAGAACACGAUUACAAACAUAUUCGAUCCAUUCACUUGAACUAAUAAAACAAGAAUUGAUAUAAAUCAUAUUAACGACAAAGAGGAAGACUUGUAUUUAUGUAGAAUUGAAAACAUAAUGCGGCUUAUUAAAAAUGUGAUUUAACUAACCUUCUGUAACUCAUGGUAUGCGAGAAUAACCUAUUUCGUUUUCUGCUUCUGCAAAAGAAGUUUGGAUGUGGGUGUUUGGUUAAUGAGAAAGUGUAGGAAACGCAGUGCGAGACGCCGACGGCGGUUCCCUGAAUCGUGCUUCGGACUUGGAGAAAUGGAAGUGGGUUUAGAAAAAAGAAGUGGGACAUUAUAAGUCAAAGCCCAAUAAGGCCCAAGCAUUUCUACUUGUCACAUAUUUAUCAACUAUUUGUCCUGCUUUUAAUUAGAUGUAAUUAAAUGUUAUUUGUCCAAAUUGAAUCUUGGAAAAAAUUUACGAAUAAAAAUUAUAAGCAAAAUUUAAUGAAAUAAAAACAUCAAUUUAAAUAGGUAUAAUCACAUUUUAAAGGAUAAAAGUAUAAAAAAGUUUCUAAAUUUUUAAUCCAAUUAAUUAUUUUUAAUGCUAGCUACAAAAACUAUUUAAUACUAAAAGUAAUUAAUAAAAGAGAAAAAAAAUGAGGAUUUAAUAAUUUGAAGUUAUUUAUAUGAAUAAUAAUAAAAAUAUUAAAUAAUUAUUUGAGAAAGUGGAAGUGGAUGUAGGGGUAAUUGCCUCUGUGUUUCAAAGGCUGUAUUGAACAAGAAAACAAAAAAUAAUGGAAGAACUGAAGCUGAGCUUGGUCAUGUGAUCAUAUUUAUGAUUGGAGAGAGUUGAAGAAAGAGGGAACUCUUUAAUCCCAUUACUACAUAUGAAUAGCAUUUUUAUUAUUUAUUGAAGAAUAAUGUGUAUGUCUAUUUAUAUGUAUCCAACCACAAAAGGGGUCCAGGAAGCUCUUUUAUUAUCACACUCAAUGCUCUGUUCUACCACCUGUAAUCUUGGUUAAUGCCAUGUGACCACCUUUGGAUUUUGCACCUAUACAAAUCCACACUUAUGAAACUUGCAAUUCCUGAAAUUUCUUUUUUCUCUUUUGUCUAUCUCUAAUGCUGUAUUGCACUUGCGCUGUUGCACAUGAAAUGCUUGUUACGCACUAGCUGCUAGUAGAAAGAGGCCAACCAAAGAAGAAAGCAGAGCACCAUAUAGAAGUUGAUGUUAGACAUUACUAUAGAAGUUGGCCUCGCCGAGAAAAUGGCAGUUUUAGUGUGGUACUGUGAGAUACUAUAAGACAGUUCAGAUUUAAAAAAUACUUCUAAGUACACAUCCAUAACAAAAUACCAAAAAAUGCUCAAGCUAUUAGGUCUGCAAUUGCAGCUCUGAUGACGUGUCAAAUUCCCAAGUUGAUGCCCAGAGUUUUUUUUACAGACAUCCACUAUGAUUUGCUGCUGCAUGAGUCCAGUGCUUGACAUGAAGUUUUCUCUAGUAAUUUAGCAUACAUUGCACCAAAUGUUAUAAUUAAAGAGCACAAACACCUCUCCUUCUAGGUAUUAAGUUAAUGGAGUUAUUAAACUAACACAUAUUUUAAGCAGGGCCAGAUCAUAAUCACGUUUCACAAACAGGAAAUGCAAAAUGCUUAGCUGUAAAACAGUUUAACAAAAUGCAUCCCCAAUAAUAAUUUCAACCAUCUAAUACCUUGAGUUCCGACAAUUUGCAAAAAAAAAAUAAAUAAAUAAAUAAAUCAAUCAAGGGAACUUUUUACAAGCAAAAACUGAAAAUUGAAAACAAAUAUGCACAAAAAGAUACAUUGGUUUCCAUAAAUAAUUGAAUUUAUGUACUUCAAACGUCUAAACUUUCCAACAACCUGGCAGGAAAGUACAUUAAUCAAUUGGGGUUUUCAGUAAUACAAGUCAUCAGUGUGCAAAGCUAAGACAGUCAUCCUGUUGAACUGUAAUUUUUUGUCUUCAUACAAGUAUCAGGAGUUAACAACUACGCUUUACAAACUUUUUCAAGUAUAUAAUUCAGUAAUGAAAUUAAUCAACAAAAGCAGCUCGGCAUUGCAUUUGCCAUUGCAUGCAGUCUUCAAAAUCAAAGCUACUUGCACAGUCCAAUAGAGCAUUUUGCUGAUGUUCAUAACGACAUAUGUAAUUCAACCCAACAAGAAGCUCACAAAUAGCUGCUUCUGUCUUUUCCAUGUCAGCAAAAUACAACGUCUGAAGCAGCAGAACAUUUGUCCGCUUCACAAUUUGAUGCUGCUCAAAAUUACGCUCGCUUUGCCAUCUGAUCAUGUUAUGUGCCAAUGGAGCAAGCCACCUUAAAAUCCCAUCAAGAGUUUCUUUCCAAUCAUGAGCUAGUGGAGCAUCAUAUAUAGCCAGAUCCUUGACAUAAGACUUGAGAUGAGUCCUAAGAGACUUUCUUAAGCUCGUUGGUAACAUCUGAUACAAAUCGUCCCUGGCUUCCUCGCCAACUAAAUGGGGAUAACGAAGCAGCUUCUCUAUAACUAUGAUGACAUUUGCAUAACGCAUGGCAAGACCAGAUCCUCCCACAGUGGAAGGCGAAGCAUGCGCUGUUAACCUACUUUUGGGGCCGAGGCAGUCGUUCAUCAUACCACACCUAGCUUGUCUAUGAUCUCCACUGAAAGAGACACUACUUGGGAUCCGAUUAGACCCACCUGAAAGGUAUGGGUGUUCUCUCUUUGUGCCACCAUUAGCAACGCUGCAGCAGCCAGAAAUUUGGCUGCCUCUGUCUUCAUUCCCAAUAAUAUCAUCCUCAUCGUUAUCCAAUUUACAAGCUGAGCUACUCAAACUAAGGCAAUCCAUGAAUAGCUUUCCAGGACUCGUCACGCAUGGAAAAACGAUGUCUUCAGCCCGUAAUGAUGCUUCUUCACCUCUGUGUGAAUCAAUCCUGGACUUGAUACUUGUCUCCCUUUUCACCACAACUGGUCUCUCAAUUGGUCCAGAUUGGAAACCAUUACUGCUUCUCCUGCUAUAAGUCCGCUUCAGAUGGCUUGAAAUCAUUAUCUGACCUGAAGCCUCCCCGCAUUCAUCCUUCAUAGGAGGCGAAGAACCAAUAUCCCCAUUAGCCCCAAAGCUGUCCCUCCUUAAAGCAGAUUCCCCAAACACUACACAAAGCCUAGCAUAAAUAGUGCAAACUCUCCUAGCUAACAACUCUACAACCUUAUCAUAAGUCUGGUUCCAAAGCGAAAUCUCCUUAAGAUGCCUAACGUCCUGCUUCUGCCAAAUAAGUUUCUGCUCAAAAGCUCUGUGACUCUCCUCAUGCUGGUUCUGCUGGAACUUCUUGGUGGUCUGCUCCAGUUCAGCUAACACCUCCAUUUCAGCAUAUAAAUUAGAGGUUGCAUUGACGUACCUCUCCAUUUUCUUAACCAUCCCCUCCGCAUCCUUAACUAAAAAUCCCAACUGCUUCACAUCAAUGACUCCACUCACUAUAUCCCCAUAAACAUGCUCAAAACCCUGCAAAGCAGGCUCGGUACAUUUCUUGCCAAGCCUAGAAACAAUACUAGCGAUCCGACUGAGGUCAUCGAGUUUCUCAGCCAAAGCAAGCUGGAGAAGGUAAUCUUCAUCCGCGGAAACCAAGUUGUUAACUCCCACAGAUUUCAAGAUCUCGGCUUUAAGCUUUGAGACCUCAGAAUCAGUGAGGGAUUUAUGAAGAUGCAAAGUUUUAGACAUGACAUUAGCAACCUCAAAAGAAAGGAUGCCAAUAGUUUCUCUUUCUUUGGUGUCUGCUCUUUUUGUGUUCUUCUUCUUAUAAGGUUCGAGAAAGAGUGCGUGCUUAAGAUUGCUACUCACCUGGUUACCCAUCUUCAAUAUCCAAGCUUCAGCCACCAUUUCCGCUCUGAGUUACCCAAGAAAUGCUCCAGGAUCUGAAAGGCCUUCGGGUUUCAAAUUCUACCGCCCAAUUCAAAGAAAAGGACAAAUAGAAGUAGAGAGUGGAAACCAAUGGCAUACAUUAACAAGAGAUGCAUGAAAUGGAUUUCCCAAGUAGAGAAGAAGAAGAAGGAGGAGGAGAUGAAAUUGGAAGGCAGAGAGUGGAAGAGAGGUGAAGGAUGCGCAUGGGGAACAGAAUAGAAGGGCGUGGGUAGAGUUGAUUAUGGAACAGAGAAACAGAGAGAAAAGAGAGAAAUUGUUUUCGAUUGGAAAGAGAGCAGUGGGUUUUCCAAAACAAAUGGUGGGACUGGUGUGGUCUGCCGUGAAAUUUCAAUAUUUGUAAUCGUACUACGAUUUUUUUAAAAUAUUAAUUGGCCACAUGGUCCCCUCCAUCUCCAUCUGUAUAUAAUUUACAAAUUUAUUUAAUUCAAAAUUUCCGAUAGUGGUGGGAAUGAGAUUACUUUCGAGUCAAAAUAAGAGAAACUACCAAAAAGAGCACUUUGACUUUGGAAUCACUUAUCAAUUUAAGCCCUUGUUUGGAUAAUCUUCAGAGGAAAUAAAAUUAAGAGUAGGAGGUAAUGAAGGGAAAAAACGUAAUAGGAAAUUUGUUUUUCUCUAUUACUUUUAUUAGUAAUCGAAACAAAUAAUUGUAAGGAUUAAAAUGUUAUUUAUUUAUUUUUAUUCUAAGAGAAAAUGUUUUAUUAUUCUUCCAUAUUUGCUCUAACCUAUGUCUAUUUCAAUUUCAAUAAUAGUAAUAGCCUUGUCUGGAGUGGGUCAAAAUUUUCAAUAUGGUAGUUUGCUAACCAUUAACCAAUCCAAGGAUGUCACUUCACUGGUGAUUUCGAUGUGCAACAGUUUUCUUGCAGCACUCAAGUAUUCAACUUCAAUUAUUAACGUAGUUUUAGGUUUACCGGAUUCAUUUAUAACCACGAAAACCUUAUUCUAUUAAAUAUAAAUGGCCUUAAUCUUUUGUUUUAGUUAUAAAAAAAAAUAUUUCGAGAUCUGAAAAUUUAUUAAUCUUACUAAUUUAAAUUCAUACUAAUCAAAUUUUAAAAAUAUUCUAUAUAUUUAAAGUUCAAACUCAAUUAAUUGAAAAAUAAAAGAUUUAUAUAAUCAUAUCUCAUCUCAUUUGCUAUAUAUGAAAAGAGAAAAUAAGUUUUAUUAUUUAAUUAGAUUUCAUUAUUUAAUUUCAUUAAAGAAGGUACAUUUCGUCAAAAGAAAAACCGUAGUUGGAGUUGGUGAAUUGUUUUUUUUUUCCUCUUUUAAUAAGACAGCUUAAUUAAAAAAAUGAAAACAUUGAGACAGAUUAAGAGUCUAGACUAGAGCAGGUACAUGGACAAAUUUUAGGUACAUAAGAAAUUCAGAAACAACGUCGACGUAGUGACAAAGGAGGAUAAAACCAAACCCAUCUCCUAACUUUAUCUGGAUUAGUGAGAUAUGUUCACUGUAACUAAAAUCAAAAUCUGUGACCUUGGCUAGAUUACUAGAAUUUUUUUUUUUUUUUAUUUAAAAUUUUCAACUUUACACUUCUUAUCCACAUGCUUGAUAUGGUGCAUAUUCUAAACAUUUUACUAAAUUUUAGAAAGAAUAUAGGAAGGAUCACUUUCAAUUUGGCUAUUAAAUGUGGUAGUAAUUUUGGUCCAUCAUCUCUUUUCUUUUUCCACAUGCACAAGCACAAGGACAACGUAUAAUGAUGACCCUUUCAUCUCCAUCCCAACUUUUAUGGAAGAUGAAGAAGAAGAAGAAGAAGAAAGAAGUACAAUUUACAUAUACAUUAGUUGGUUUCGUUGAACUGAAUAUGCUCUUAAGCAGUAUUGGUUCAACUAAACAGCCAUUGCGUUUAGGAGUCUGAGGAUAAUGAAGGUGACCCUUUGGCAUGUAGUGCAUGUGGCAAUCACGUGGGGACCCCUUCAUCAAUCCACCCACCCACAUCAGAGAAACACAAUACGUAAUUCUUGCGUCUGGUGGGGGCCUAACUCCUAAAGAAAGAAAAAAAAAAAAAAAAGAGAGAGUGGGCGAAAAGUACCGGUUGAUGCUAACAAAUUCCCGCCAUGAUGCUGCACGUAGACGUAGGUUUGUGUUUGGACUCACAUUUGAGUGGAGAAUAUAUAAACAAGAUAAAAUAUUAAGAAAAGAGAGGAAGGGGUUGGGCCAUUCUAGGAUUUACGCAAUUUAUAAUAAAGCAUGUGGGUUGAUUUUCAAUUAUUUAUUUGUUAGUAAACUUUAGGCUUUAUGCCUAUCAAUAAUCAACCUUUCUUUUUUUGUAGUUGUUGUUUCUUCAAAGUUACGAGCUUUUGAAUUGAUGGAUGUGUUCUCAACUGGAGUCUAAAGUUGGCUGGGAAUAGGGAAUUUUGACCCCAGCCAAAGAGAUGAAUAGAAAAAGAAAAUAAUAGUAAGUAUGAUUUUUAAUUGGGUCAGAUGAAUGGCCCAUGUAGACCAAUCCAUGCAUCAUAGUCCACGGCCCAAUAAAAUAUAUGUUACUAUUGGAGGAUGGAUGUUUAUGUAUGUAUGUCGAAACUUCUAUAUAUUGCGAGAUCUGUGUGCAAAAUUUGACUCAAAGAGGUUGAUUUCGUUAGUUUUUGGUAGAGAUUUAUUUAAAAUAGAUGGUUCUAGACGCGCUAAAUAGUCAGAAAUAAGAAAUAUAUUCAUUCCGUGUGUAUAUAUAUAUAUAUAUAUAUGCUUGUGGAGGCUGACCUUUUAUUAUUAUAAUUAUUAUUAUUAUUAUUUAAUGUUUGAAUAAUCAAACUGUCAGAAACAUCUAUUUCUAGAAUCGAACCCUGGAGAAUAAAUGAGAUGUGUGUGGAACAGGGGUUUUCAUUUCAAUUUAUUAUGGACCAUCCUAAUAGCAAACUUUUGAUAAUCAUGGUUCCCAUUAGAGUUGAGCAAGAGGAAGAAUUUCUCUUCAAUAUAUUUGUUAUUAAAUUGUGGCAUUAAAAUAAGAUAUCAUAAUAACUAGAGAAGAAUUGAUAUUGAAUGAUCAUAUUAGAGAAGAUUUAUCUAUAAGCCGCAUGGAGUGGGGAUGAUCAAUGCACAGCCGGAAAGUGAAGGCCAUGUAUUUUUGUACCUCAAAGAAACCUAGUAAGGAGAUGGAGAAAUGUAAUGAGAAGGGUCACUAUGCAGAGAGAGAGAGAGGGAGAGAGAAUUUAAUGAGUGAAAGUUGACUAGAGUUGAAGAUAAGCGACAAGAGAAUACGGGGAAACGUAGUAUAGCGGUAAAAGAGAAAAUCCAAGGGUCCAACUGUGAAUGAUCUGUAAUCCAUAGGACUUUCUGUUUUGUGGGCUGUAAUUCGACAGCUGCGUCAUGGAAUCAAAAUUUUCUUCACAAUCACAAUCCUCUCCCUUCCCUUUAAUAAUCUGCUACACCUCCUCUUUCGUAUACACCAUAAACUCCUCUUCUCUUCUCUUCUGCUUUACAUUAUUAAUUUUAUUGCUUACAGAACUUGGCCACUCAAGACCACUCCUUUUAUCUCUUUUAAAUUAAGUUACAAAAACUAUAUCCAUACAAAUGCAAAAUCUAAUAUCUACAUAUAUAUAACAGAAUAUUUUUCUGGGAUUUAAAAUUAUUUAUAUUAUGUGUAAGAUGCUUUUUGUUUCUUUGAAUAAAUCACGUUGGUGUAUGACCAUUCAAAUAAGAUCAGAUCCAAGGUGUUGAAGAUAAAUUGUCUUUGUCGGUGUACUCAAGCAUUUUAUUUGGUAACCCAUAAACUAUAGUAUUUUAUAUAAUCAGUUAUUAUGGAUUCUGGUCAAAUGUUUUCAUUAUCACAAUCAGUUUUUCUGUUGACUACCAAUAGCAAAUUAACAGUAACGUUUAGGUCUUUCUGUUUACGCAAAAUAAUUGUAUUAGUUUAAUUGGUUCUUUUAACAAUAAUCAUUAGGAUAUGAUUAUAUCAAUUUGAGACCUGAUAAUACUUUUAAAUCAUUUGUGUAUAUCAUUAAUAGCCUAGUGAUAUUUCUGCUCAUUCAAUUUUAAUAAAGUUGGAUGUUAAACGAAAAAUCAAAAACAAAAUUAACAGGAAAAUAGGAGGAAUAAUUAAGAAGAAAAAAUGAUUAGCAUUAAUCCUAUGAACAUAAAAUCCAAGCUCUGUAUACAAUUGUUAGGUGAAGGUCUAAAAAAACCCUAAAAAUGUAAUUAUUUUAAACGCCUCUUUCCUUUCCAUAACUAUACAGGCACAAAAAACUUAGGGCCAAAUGGAGCAGGCUCACAACAGAAAGGAGCAGCAGGAUGCUGCCACUUCUUGAACACAGUAGGCUUAUCCGGCUCCGUUCCUUGAUUUCGAUGCUGCAACGGUUGCUGCUGGUUCAUUUCCGCCAUCUGAUCUAUCGCGAUAGGUGAAGUAACAAGAGGAGACAGGAGAGGGAUGGCGGUGUUCCAGCAGGAGGAAGUGGGAGGAUUGAUCUGCAAGGACGCCGGUCGCCGGCGCUGAAGACGACUGGGCUGCGCAGGAGACGAAGCAGAGGCUGAGGUUCUGUUCCUGGAGAUGUCGGCCAUGUAAGGAAGAUGAGAACAGUAACAGAGAUUAAAAGAAACAGAGAGGAGAUUUUAGGAUUUAAAAUUGAUGGCGUGUGUGAAGAGAAAUUUUCUUUGGCAAAAGGUGUGCGAAGAGAAAUGAAGGGAUAGCGAAGAUACAAAGGAUAUAUAUAAAGGAGGCAGGUGAGGUAAGAAGAGUCGCUCGGCUCGGCUCGGCUCUAAAGCCUUCUUUUUUAUAUUUCGUAAAUUACCGAUGUACUGCGGCUUGGUGUGACUGAAUUAUUAGCUAGCGAAUUGUGAAUAAAUAAAAUACUUUCCAUUUUCAGAUGACGCUAAUUUGAAUGAGACUUAAUUGUUUUUUAAAUGAAAUGAAUGUAAGUUUUAAUAUAAAAUAUUAAUUUUUUAUUUUUAAAAAUAAUUUAUUAUUUAACCUAAAUUAGUAUAAAAAAUAAAUCUCCUGCCUUUUUUACAAUUUGCACUUUAUCCGAUAGUUUUAAUUUUAACAUCAUGCCAUAAUUUUUAAAAAUUUACAACACUUUAUCAAAUUUUAAAGUUAAAUUUGGGAGAGUAUACUGGUACUAGUGGCAUUUUGAUAUAUACAACAUAAAUUUCAAAAUAUGGAUUUGGGAAUUUCUCAAAUUCAAUUGCAAAAUAUUUCUUUAAAUUGUGAACUAUUUUGCUAAAACUAAAACUAUUAGAUUAAAAUGCAAAUGACCGAAAAGAAGGAUUUUUAUUGUAAUAAUUAAGCCUAUUAUUAGAGAAAAUUAACUCAUUUAGUAAAUCUUGAGUAGAAACUGUAACCAAAUAAAAAAUUUCUAUGGGCGAAAGUUUUACAAAAUAAAUAUCAAUACGAAUAUUGUAAGAUUAUUUGUGACGAUUCUUCUAAAUUUCUCCAUCUAAAAAGAUAAUAAUAUACAAUAUAAAUUAGAAAAUGAUUAUUUUUUCAAUAAAAAGUGUAUAUACACGAUGGCCUUAUAAAUAGAGGAUUAUACCACUAUUUGUAAAAUCGAAAAGUAAUUGUAAGAUAAUAGAGUUUCAACAAACUCGAGCUUUUUAUACUCUUUAGAUGCAUGCACAUAUGCUAAUUAAUGAAUAACAUUGAAGAAGAUAUCUUACUCUAUUUGUAAGUGUUAUGCAUAGUCAUUGAUCUACGUGUUCGUGACAUGUAUAUGUCCAGGGAAUGUGAUUUAUUCUUCUAAUUUGGAUUUCAGGGACUGUUUCUUGUGUAUUUUUUUUUUGCCAAUUUCCUGCAUAACCUUGAUGGCGCAUGGACAGUAAGUUUGUUGCUAACUUAGGAAAAACUUCAGUUGAAGGUAUUGAGACCAAAGUUUUAUUUGAGGGCUAUAAUCAACUUGGGUUUUGGGAUUGAUAAAGACAGUGAAGGCCAUUGAUUGUAUCCAUGAAAAUGUUAAGAACUUUCAUCCAUUUGUGGAGGCCAUGAAGAGACUUCUUAGUUUGGAUUGAGAAGUUAUAGAAGAGUAUUCCAAGAGAAGCUAAUUACCCGGCCAAGUAUCUUGCACAUUCAUUUAGAUAACUCGUUUAUAUUGAGAAUCAUCUUUUGUAUGCUCCAGAUGCUGCGAUGGGGGAGGCCUCCGGCAUGGAGUUGUCUGCUAUAAUGCUCGAAUUAUGGUGUCACAAGCUGUAUAUUUUUUUAUUCAUAUAUUUAAUUUCAAGAAUAGAGAAUAAGUUGUUAUUAUUAGGUAAAGAAAGGAAAUAGAGCAGUGGAGAAGCAGGCUGCUGACAGCUGAAAUUUAUUAAAAAUGAACGGUUAAAAUUUAAAGUGAGAAAAAAAAUAUAUUACUUGACUCUUAAAUUUUCAUAAUCAAUUUUAAGUGGUUUACCAUCAAGAUACAUCAAUUGUGAUUAGAUGUAUACAUUUUUGUUUUUACAGAACUAUUUUUUAAAAAGAUUUAUUGAUGGAAAGUUGUCUUUUUUUCGUUUUUUCCUUUUCAUAUGCACAUAUUACCUAGCAUUAAUAAAAGAUAAAAAAAUUAUUAAAAAAUCAUAUGAAAGUAGAAAAAGGUUUCAAUUAGUGGAGAAAGGUCAAAAAAAAUAUUUAAUCCGACAUAAAAUCAAAAUGGAAUAUUGUGCAAAAAGUUGUCAGUUUGAUCCGUUGAAGCCAAGAAAGCCAAGCCGAGCUUAAUAGAGCAUAGGAUCCAAAAUAAUACGCCGGAAUGGGAGGCAUGGGGUGUCAGCGUCUGAGUUGGCUUUCUGACUCUUCAAACUCAAAAUAGCUGCUGCUUUGCUUCACUUUUCCUUUAACCGACCCCAACUAACUUGAAAAACCGCGGGGCUUUCUACAACUCCCAAUUCCCCACUCCUCCAGAUUUUGACCUUCCCUUUAUUUUUGCUUCAUCUAAACGUUUUAUGAUAUUUGGUCUCACUUUUCUAUCUCCAGUCUCCACCAAUCAUCUAAUCCCCAAUCCGACGGCUUGCAUCACGUCUCCGUGGUUCAUUCCAAGCCUUUAUUUACUCGGCUCACAUUUGCUGUUGGGCUUGUGCUUAUCUGUUUCUUUCUUCAGCUUAAUGACAAACACUUUGGCAUCAUUCGUGGGCCAUUUUCAAUUCUAGUGUUCAUUUUGGAUAAGGGUAGAUUUGUCAUUAGCAUUGUAAUAGGUGACGAAGGAGAUUAUCUAUUUACCCAUUAGUUAGAGAAAGUAGCAUUGAUUUACAAAAUUGGCCUUCGCUAGAUAUUAGAAUGUACAUAUAUGUUUCUCUAGCAAAAACGUCCUUUGUCACCUAAAAUAGUCAAUAAUCAUGUAAUUGGGAAUUAAUUUAUCUGAAAAGCAUUUUCAGUUCUUCAAUCCUAGCUGACCGAACUUCCUCAUCUGUAAGGGCACCGGCAAUCAUCCGCUGCUUCCUUGCCUGAACUUGUUGCAUCCGUUCUUCCACCGUGUCCUGUCAUAUCAUUAAUAAAUGUAAAUGGACCUUUUAGUUAAAUGAACUCAACAAGGAUAUGUCAAAGAGAAUGAAAUAAGUUGCUUUCGAGUCUAAUCCUAUUAUUCAACUAAAUCAGGCUGCGUCUAAUUUUCAAUUUGGAUCCCAGUACAUAAAGCUGUUUCGUUUGUAUUGGCCUAGGCCGUUUUCCUUGCGUUUCAAUAAAUAAAACACGAACAAGGAAUCUCAAGCUGUGUAAAAUGGAGUCUCAGUCGAGCAUAUGUAUAAUCAAUUAGAACUCUAGUCACAAAGUAUUUGGACAAGACUUGACACGUUUGGCAUAUAUUUAAAUUUUCAGGGGGUUGGAAGCUAGAAGCAUAAUCGCACCUUAACAAUGAAUCUUCUAACAGUAACUGUUCGCUUCUGUCCUAUGCGAUGAAUUCGCAUUAUUGCUUGCUCCUCCACUGCAGGAUUCCACCACGGAUCCUACAAAACUUUUAACAUUAGGAGAGGGCAAUUUUUGUGUUCUACUUUUUCAGUAGAGAAAAGCGUGGGAUGUGAAAAGUAUUACCAUUAAGAAGACAUUGGAGGCAGCUGUUAGAUUCAGGCCAACCCCACCAGCUCUCAAGGACAUCAACAUUACCUGGUAUAUAUCAAAGAAAAGAAGCAGGUUGUUAAACAAGCUAUUUAACCAAGGAGCAGACUGUCAACAGCUAAAGCACUUGUAAAUUGUAAUAUGCUUCACCGUUUUUUCUUUGGUUUCAUUGAACUCAUUCAACACCCUCUCCCUUUGCUUCUGCACUAGUUUCCCAUCAAACCUCAAGAACCCAAUUCUUCUCCUCCUCAAUGGAAUUUCUAGGAGGUCCAGAAAAGAAGUCCAUUGGCUGAACACAAUGCUUUUCUCACCAGAACCUGAUCUGCGAAUCCCUUCCAAGCAUUCCAAGAGCUUUGAGACCUUUGAAGAUUCCUUCCAGUUCUUCUCAACAUCAACUCGGAAUUUAUUCUCUGUUGGGCAUGUUAUGAGUUCAGUUUUCUUCAGCACAGUUCUGCAAAUUGGGCAUAACCCAGUUGUUGGUGUUCGCCAGCUCGACAGGAUGCACUCCCUGCACAUUCUAUGUGCGCAUGGAGUGAGCACAGGAUCAUCUGCAUACUCCAUGCAUAUGGGACACUCAGUAUUUUCACCCCGUCGGAUGCCCUCAACAACCUCUUCAACGUAUGCUCUGGUGGGGCCUGUCUGUCCUGGAGCAGCAGAAUUGGCAUUUGUCUCCAGGAACCUUCUUGCAAGCUUGCUCAAGUCUGCAUACUGUUGUGAAUCGGCUCGACUGCAUAUGCUAAAACCAAUCAGAAACAAGAAAUAUAAACAGAAUAAGGAUUGCUCCAAGUUAAUGAUAUCUGCAACUCCACUCCCACCUCAUAACAAGAAAUGGGUGGUUGCAACACUGCCUUAAUCGAAGUAAUAGCUCAAGAAUAGAUGCAUAGUUGUGAAGAACCUUCCCUUGUGCCACAAACUGGUCAAACUGGACCUGUUAUGUUAAACAAACCAAAAUUAGACCUUCGUUGCUGAUAGAAUUGAAUAUAUAUAUUAAAGCAACUACAAGUACUGAAAUGCUGGUCGAUGAUAAGACAAUAACAUGCAAAUUUAUGUUCUAAAAUCAUUAGGCACCUUUGAUCUUCUGAAAAGGGCAUCGUAGAAAUCAUGUUCAGCUUCAGAGUGUUCACAUUCAAUGAUUUGAAUGUCAGUUGGCGGAAGAACAAGUAUGGGCCUGAAUCACGUUACCAAACACAGAAAAUAACAAAGGAUUUUGCUUUAGAAACAAAAGACCAAACAUUGAAUGCUGACAAAAGAUUUUGCUUCCGAAAAAAAAUAGUAGUCAAAAGAAGGUUGAGAAAACCGAUUAUCACCUUCCUGCUUUGUCCUUUGUAUCCUUGGUUCUUCUCAACAUUAGUGGCCUCAAAAUAGCCUUGAUCAACUUCAAUCCUCUUGGAUCACCAUUUUCAUAAGGCCUCUGAAUCAACUUGUUCCACCUAAAGAAAAGUAUGCUUAUGUUAUGUAGCACUAUUCCAACAAUUGCACAGCUCGAGCAAUUGAUGAGGCAAUAAUGCAGCUUAGCUAAAUUUUCAACUGCCACUUUCUUUUACACCGAAACAAUAAGGGACAUGUAUAUCAUACCAUGCCCAAUUGCACCAAGGUUCGACAUGCAAGAAGCAUAGAAGGCUGUAGAGAUCUUCCAAGCUAUUCUGUUGCAAUUGAAAUAGAGUUCCACAAUUACAUAAAAUUUCGGACUGAAACCAUAAGUUGUUGAAAAAGAAAUAGCAGUGACCGCGAAAUAGCUACGUCGAUAUGAUAAUAUUAAGCUAGAGGGAUGAUUACACAUUUUUCAUGGAUCUUGUACGCUCAAGCAAUUAGUGCACCGAACGGGCAAGCAAACAGACCUGAAGAGGUGUCCCUGUGAGACACCACCGGCAGUGCGAGGACAAUGAGAAAGCAGCUUGAGCAGCUACUGUUUUCCAGGAUUUAAUGCUAUGAGCUUCAUCUAAGACCACCCUAUACCAAUCUACUCUAUGGAAAAUGCUGUUCUCCAAGUCCUACAUUAGAUAUAAUGAAAUUUUUAUUUGCUGCAAGAAAAAGGCUGAGACUGGAAAGUAAAAGAAAAAGUGUGAUCACUACGAAAGAAACUGAAGAAAAGAGGAAAGGUAAUAGAUUAUUAAAUCCAUCCACAUGAAAAACAAAUCAGCUACAAUGCAGGAUCUCAUGUACUUACAGAUUUAUAUGCUGCUGCCAGAACACCAUAUGUUGUCAAGACUACAUCAUAUCCAGAUAUAAUCCUGGAAUCGUUCGUUCUUUCACCACCAUAGUGAAUAAAAAUGGAAAUACUUUCUGGCUCUGAAUGGGUUUCAAGCUCAUCCUGAGAUUUUAGAAGUACAUAAUAAGAUACCUUGCAAGUAACAGCAGUGUUUUGCAAUCUAAUAUCCAUAACAUCGGUUUACUAAUUGACCCAUCAGAAGCAUUUUUCUAGUGCUCUGUUAUUUAGAAUAUCAUAAUUUGCAAAUGGAGCAGUAGAGGCAAAACUAAGCAUUCCUCUAUACAAUUCACUUUCUUCAACUCAGACCAGAAGAGACAAACUCACCUUCCAUUGGCCUAGCAAAGCCAUGGGACACACAAUAAGAGUGCCGCCCUUUGCCUUAGACGAGGUUCUUUCUUUCUUAUUAUUUGUGCUUUCUUGGCUGUCAGUGCUUCCCUUUCCAGGUCUUGCAAGUAUUAGAGCAAUUGUCAUCACGGUCUUUCCAAGACCCAUUGCAUCCGCAAGAAUCUGAAAAGGUAUUUUACGACAUCAGAUAAUAUAACACAUCCCUACUCCCGAUCCCCAAGGCCAAAACACAAUAACAAAAUAGAAAACUCCAAUCUCAACGAAAUAAAUAUAUAUACUAAAUUUGGUGAAAUGAGCAAUAUAUAAAGGAAAAUUCUAAGAUGGACCCAGUCCAUCGCGGAUCCGAGACAGGUGAAUGUCGGUCCCAUAUGAUUUUUUUAUAGGAUAUAUAUAUACAAAACUCACUCCUCCUCUGGCCAUCUGUGUUGCAGUUGGAAAUUGUGUGGUUGCCUCUCCAGAGAAGAUGUUCAAAUAGAUUGAGGAAGCCCUCCUGCUUCAAGGAGGCUUCGUUAAGUAUCAUGUUAUUAAAUUUACUGGGAAAAAUCUAGUUGCAACAUGACAAAAUUUGUGGUGCGCGCUUGUCCAUGUUUUACUAGAAUUUACGUACUCAUCACAUAUACGAUACGCUGCCCAGCAUGGAUGAAGAGUUUCUGCUGCUUUCUCAGCAUCAAGUCCCCUCUCUGCUUCUGACAUCCAGUAGAGUGCUUGUUUUUGGUAAGGCUUUAGCUGGCAAAUUAGCGAGCUUGGGGGUUCCAUCUCCUACAAAAUUAAGAAGUAAGCAUCAGAGAGAUGAUGUGGCUGAGUCACCAACCAUAUAGUUAAAAUAUUUCAUGUGCACCCACUCUCCCGCAUGCACAAUCUUAUGAUAGGUCCACCUCCCCCCCNNAAAAAAAAAAAAAACCAACUUCCCUCAUGUAAACCUUAAUGAUAAUAAUGAGAAUAAUAAUAAUAAUAAUAAUAAUAAUAACAAAAACAGUAGUAGUGAUAAUAAUAUAAUUAUUAUAAAUAUAAAUGUCAUUUAUAGUAGUGUACCUCUAAGUUAUAUAUCUCCGCAGCACCAACAAGCUUAUUAAGAGAUGAUUCUGAAAUAGCUUGUUCAUCUUUGUUUGGUUCUGGAUAUUGCUGGCAACCCUUUCUCCUUUUUGCUAAAGAUAACAUUGCUGCAGCUUCAUCCUCUCCCUGUUUUGACCAACAAAGCUUAAAUUUUUACCAUGGCAUUCGUGCACUACUAUAUAUCUGCAAGCUUGAAAUUGCACAUAUACCAGCAACAGUAGCACCCAAAAAAGUGACUCCAUUGUGUUAUGCUACAAUACGGUCCACAAACCAAUGUAAAUUUUCAUUAGAAACUAAAAUAAGUUCAUAGAUUUUUUCUUUUAAAUUCCCGUCACUCCAGUUAUCAAGCAACUUGUGGUACUAAUGGGAUUCAUAUCAGUGCGUGUGUUCAAGCAAUUGGGAUUCUGAAAUCAAUGAAAAAAAAAAAGUAUAGCAGCGCAUAAACCAACGUACUUCAAGAUUCAGUGAGCGCUUUCGAGAAUCAAGCUCCUCGGGCGUGAAUUCCGCCUGAUUGAAUGAAAAAUACAUGUCAAGAUAGUUAAUUUUAGUCAUGAACGUUGGGAAUACAUAGGCAUUAUCAUCAACAGGGGAUAAAGAAAAGAACCUUCUGAUAUGGUGUUAUUUUCAACAAUUUGAACAGAGUAAGGAGAGGAUGAAUCGUAGAAUCAAUAUUUGAAGUGGUUUCUAGCCUCCGUGUUGAUUUAUCCAAAUCCGUGAAAAUUGACUUGUGAAUAUAAAAGCUGCCAGACAGACAAAUAAUUAACGACUUAAUUAAAUAAAUAAUUCACAUCACACCCGGAGAAUUAUUUCCCAAACAGAUAGAAGAAAAUUACCUAGCUACAUGCAAAUUAAAGAAUUUAGACAGAAAAUAUAAGAAUUUUACCUCACAUACAACAUUAUCUCUUGCAUGAUGUGAAGGCUUGGUGGGGCAGCUACACACCGUCCAAGAACUUUAACCUUGGUAGAAUUUACAAGUGGAACAACACAUUUUGACCACUCCAUUGGAAGCCGACCAAUCUAAAUUUUGGACUCACAAUUAAACAGUAAGGAACAAUCUAAAUGCACAUAUAUCAAAUUUAAAUUUGGAAAAAGAAAAUAACAAAACCAUCACUUGGAGCUAACCUCUCCAUAUCGUUUGGUAGAGAAGCGAACAAUCCACUGCGAGUUAAAUCUCAUAUUUGUAUUGGGAAAGACAAAAUUGACUAUUUCAUUGUCCACCAAUUUCCUACCUUUGCUAGUCGAGAGGCCAAUAACCAUCGUCCUUCCUACCAAGUACCAAUCUGCCUCUUCUGGGAAAUCCCCAUCCUCCACUUUAAUACCAUUAAUCAUUGUAUCUUCAACCAUUUCUUGUUUCACGUUCUUAGGGUUUUGACGCCUACUAUAACGAUCAAACAGCACUCUUGGCAUCUCCAUAACAACCACGUCAGGUUCUUCUUUUACUGUACCAUUUUGUGUACCCCCAUUAGAUUUUCUUUCUGUGAAUUCGCAGUAUUCUUUAAAUGGCAUGCCUCUAGGACUUGAUAAAAAGAAUGGUUGAUUACUCUCUAAUUUAACUUCUGCUUUGCAGACAUCAGGCUCCUCUUUAACUUUGAUCUCUAAAUCCUCUGGCUCCUUCUUCACUUCUUUCACUACACACUUUUCUUUAAAUCCAUCAGAUUUCCCUUCCUUGGGUUCAUAGGAUUCUGGAAAUAUAGGUAACUUACUCUCUGGCUUCUCUUCUUGCUUACGGGUAUCAGGCCCUUCUACUGUGACCUCCUCUUUCACCCUUGUAUCCGCUUUCAAGGUGGAUGCUUCCAGCUCCUGGGACCCUUCCUGCUUGAUUUCGAUGGAAACCCGUACGCCGGUGCUGGUAACAGCACGCUUGACAGCGAUGGCGCCGUCGUGGGUGCCAGAAUCGUACGAGGGUAUCUUACGGACCUCCCCUUCUUCUUCUUUUGGAAGAAUUUCCAUGUUUUAAAUUAAUAAAAGAGAAUUGAUUAGGAAAAAGAGAAAUUGAAGUGCAAAAACGAAAGAUCUCUGUUUCAAACGAAGAAACAGAGAGAGAGAGAGAGAGAGAUAGUGGAGAGGAUUUGGGGGAAUUGAUUUUAUAGUAGGUAACAAUUUUGGCGCGAAAGUUUUUCCCUCUCCCGCUGUGAAAGUGGAGGGUUGGUAAUUUUAUCCUUUUGGCGCGAAAAGGGAAGGCGAGUGAAAACUAAUAAGAGCAAUUUUUUACCAAAGCAUUUCAUUUCUUGCUGCUUGAAAAGGCAAUGCAAUUUGUAUGACGCGAUACGGGAUGCCGUUUUUGGAAGCUAGCAAGUGAACUGCCCUUUUUACCCUUAUUCGUGCUUUUUACCUUGAUAUGUUAACAAUAAAGUUAAUUGGAAGGCAAAGGGCUGUGGCCGUAUCCAUUUAAGAGAAAUAUAACAAUAGCAGCAGACCCCAAAAGCGCACACUAGCUUAACCUAACUCUCUGUUUAGGAGAAAGUUUUUAAAGGUAAAAAAAUUGUUUUUAAGAUUUAAAAAUUUUGAAUUUGUAUUUUGAGAAGAGAGUAAGUUGAGAAGGUUUUUUCUUGAAAACUUUUGAAUAUCUUUAAAAAAAUUUUAUUUUUCCAAACAAUUAAAAAAAAAUUUAAAUUUUCAAAAUUAUAAAAAAUCUUACCAUAUAAAGCUAUAGUUUAGAAAACUUUUCCUUAUAAGAGUGUAAAGAAAACUUCAAAAAUCAAGCCCACAGCCUUAAACCAAGGCAUGUGAAAAAUACUUCUUAAACUAACUGAUUCAAGUACUGACCAAAUGCCCACAAGCCUAAAUAUCGCAAAAUCCCUCAUUUAUUGCAAUUUAUAUCUUUUUCCCCUUAAAAAAAGUCCANNNNNNNNNNNNNNNNNNNNNNNNNNNNNNNNNNNNNNNNNNNNNNNNNNNNNNNNNNNNNNNNNNNNNNNNNNNNNNNNNNNNNNNNNNNNNNNNNNNNNNNNNNNNNNNNNNNNNNNNNNNNNNNNNNNNNNNNNNNNNNNNNNNNNNNNNNNNNNNNNNNNNNNNNNNNNNNNNNNNNNNNNNNNNNNNNNNNNNNNNNNNNNNNNNNNNNNNNNNNNNNNNNNNNNNNNNNNNNNNNNNNNNNNNNNNNNNNNNNNNNNNNNNNNNNNNNNNNNNNNNNNNNNNNNNNNNNNNNNNNNNNNNNNNNNNNNNNNNNNNNNNNNNNNNNNNNNNNNNNNNNNNNNNNNNNNNNNNNNNNNNNNNNNNNNNNNNNNNNNNNNNNNNNNNNNNNNNNNNNNNNNNNNNNNNNNNNNNNNNNNNNNNNNNNNNNNNNNNNNNNNNNNNNNNNNNNNNNNNNNNNNNNNNNNNNNNNNNNNNNNNNNNNNNNNNNNNNNNNNNNNNNNNNNNNNNNNNNNNNNNNNNNNNNNNNNNNNNNNNNNNNNNNNNNNNNNNNNNNNNNNNNNNNNNNNNNNNNACACAAUAAUAAAAUAUAUAGAUAAAGCAAUGAAUGUCCUAUUUAAGUCAUGCUCCACACACAUCAAAAAGAUAUUUGACCUCUCAUCUCAUCCGUCGCCGAGAUAACUCAUCAUGUGCACGUUAGAGAAGCAAGGCAAUAUCUUCAUUUUGACAUUCAUCGGUGACGGUGAGCAUCGUCUGAGCCCUUCUCUCAUCGAUUCCGUCUUAUCGGCUCUCCGCGAAGUAAAAUCCAAGGCCACUCGCGGCUCAGUUCUUAUCACCACAUCCCAAGGCAGGUUCUUCUCCAAUGGUUUCGAUCUCGCCUGGGCUCAAGCCGCUGGAUCCAGUUCUAAAGCCAUGGAACGCCUCCAUCACAUGGUCGUCUCCUUCAAGCCGGUCGUGGCCGAGAUGAUAUCCCUCCCUAUGCCCACGGUGGCAGCCGUCCAGGGCCACGCCGCCGCCGCUGGAUUUUUGUUGGCUUUAAGCCACGACUACAUCCUGAUUAGGAGUGAUAAAGGCGUAUUAUAUAUGAGCGAGAUUGACAUAGGGCUUCCGUUGCCGGAUUAUUUCGCUGCAGCUUUUCGAGCUAAACUCCACGCUGUUUCCGCUCGACGGGAUGUCCUCCUGAGAGGUGCCAAGUUGAAAGGGGAGGAAGCGGUGAGGAUGGGGAUCGUAGAUGCUGCGUACGAUAGUGAAGGAAGCUUGGCUGCGGCUGCGAUGCGCCUGGCGGAGGAGUUGGCAUCAAGUAAAUGGAAGGGCGACACUUACAAAGAAAUAAGAACGAGCCUAUACCCAGACCUAUGUGGGGUGCUGGGAUUGGAGGAAGGAAAAAUUGUAGCUAAACUUUAACCAAGAAAUAAAGGAAAAAGGGAUUGGAACACUUGGCAUGUGAUACUGUUUGUUUCAAUAAAGAAGACUCUAGAUGUAUUCUCAAAAUUGUAAUUCCAAUCCCUAGAUCUGGCGUUAUGUCGAUUUUCAAAUUUAAGAAUAAUGGUUAAGAGGGUCGGCCGUGCGAGCCAACCCUAUAAGUUUCCACAAAUUAUGUCGGCCAUAUGUCUUGAUUGCCAUACGGCACUCACCGGACGAGGGCGAGUGCGGCAUAAUUAGCCAACCGACCCUUUUAAUUUGCGAAAUCCAACUCAAGCCUGAUAUAUAUGGAACACUUUGCACCCUCUCUCUUGCUGCUUCCCGAUGUGGGAAUUUUAUUUCUGCUCCAUAUGCAUCCCUAUGGGUAUGAGAACCAUGAACACUUGCUUGGCUUUUGCUACCUAAGAUGAAAGCCUAAAAGCUUGUUAUCCUCCCCAUGCUAGUUCCUUAUCAAUUGCUCUGGUUGAAAAAUCUUAGUGGAGAACUAGCAUCUGUUAAUAUCUUUAAUGUUCUGGUUUCUUAGGUAGAUCAUUAAUCAAUAGUUCCACCUUCAGGCCUACAAUGUCUGUUCACGCCAGAUAAAUUUCUGCGUUACCGAGGAUUAUAGGCGGAAAAAUGUAUUCUUAUUUUCAAUUCUCAAAAGCAUCUUACAGUUUCAGUUUAACACGUUCAUCUACCAUAAACUCUUCAUACAGUAAGGCCAAAUAUUUUGUUAGACGUUCAAACCCAAGUUUUCUAAAGCUGUGGCACAUAUGAGGGGAAAAAAAAAACAGAAAUGGAAGCUUAUUUUCUCUACAAUUACAAAUGAUCUCGCAAGCAGUACGUAGGCUUCACAUGUUUGAUGGUAUUCUUUGCAAUUAGGAUCAAUAAGCUCAGCCAUUAGGUCUUCUACAACAAGGAUAUGAACAAACCUGCCAUUCAGCAGCUGCACAAAUAAGAAGCCAAACGAUUCCUCGUCACCUCAAGUGUAAAUAUGCAAGUCUCUUCAAUCUUAAAGGAGAGAAUGCAACACACUUGUGCUUCAUAAGGUAAAAUGUCAAUGCUAACGCACUUUCACCUGCUCAAAAGAAACACAGGGCCUUCUAAAAUGAUAAUUUAUGUUUCCCUCAAGAAUUACUCAACAAUCAACUUCCAUAAAGUUUGAUUCUCCAGUAGAAUUAGAUUUUGCCUUACCCACAGUUGCUAAUUCUAAAUCAGAGCAUUCGUUCCUCUCCUUUAAGAAUUUAUAUAACACAUUGCUUGGCUUGAAGAUAGUAAGAAUCAUUAUAUUUUCUGCCACUCCCAAUGUGAAUCCCAUUGCGAAUCCAAUCCUCCCUCUGUAUCCAAGCAUCCCGACCGAAAUCAAGAAUUCCAAGGAUCUGGCAUCAAUAACACGGGGCAUAAAAUGCAUGACAAUCCAUCAGCAAACAGUAAGCUGUCAUCAAAAGCAUGACCCAGUUGAACCAUAUGAAGGUCCUAAUAUACAGACUAAGCAACAUUGCCCACUUGACCGAAGGGUAUAAAGCCAGAAAAUUGGUGCGUUAAGGUAAAAUGUAAUGGAAUGUCAAGUAUUCACUCCACAUAACUCUGAACUACAAACUAUGAUCCUUUGAACCUACCCAACAUGUACUUGUCUUACAAAAUACAUCACGAUAAAGAUAUAUAAAAAAAAUACAAUGUGAUACAUAUAGCAACAAGGAAUAGCUGAGUAACAUCAUAAGCUGACUAACCUGUCUAUGAUAUAAAAUAAAGAAGAUAUAAUAAAUCACAUGCACAAAUAAUGAGAUUUUCUUUGUUGCCUUCUCUCAAGGAGAACAUUCUUCACAUAAAAUAUUCACAUCAUGAAGGCCAAACAUGCAUAAGAAACUAGUUACAAGAUAAAGAAAAGAUGUAAACACAAAGGUAGCAAGUGAGGACUUACAGCUCCACCUUUCCAGGACACAAAGGUUUGAUUUGUUCUUGACUGCAGAACCUGUAAGUGAAAGCCAGGUAAUAUCAACGUCUGGUAUCACAACAUAGAAAACUAAAUAAUGUAUAGCACUACUCACAGUAUCUUCAAAUUCCUCCAUUUUUGUGAGCCAUCAACAAGAUAACAUCAUAAUUCUGCAAGUGAAAUAGCCUAAACCCUAAACCUAAACCCUAAAUUCCAAAAGCUAAACUCAUAUUUCUGCAAGUGAACUAGCAGUCCAAAGUUGACUCCAACUGUAAUACUAAUUUACCACAAAAUAACCUUUAGUUAUUAAAUAAAGAUAAAAUUAUUGGUGAAUCAAUCACCUAACUGCAAAUAAACAACCCCUUGAAAUUUUGUCAUAAGAAUCUAAAAGAUAUUAAAAAUGACCUAUAGAAAUAUAAUCUAUGAUCGGUAGACAUGAGAGCAUUUAUGUGCAAUUUUUUGUCCAUCCAUUUAGCCACUAGAUAAACUAAAUUAUUUAUCACUAUUAUUUGUAACAAAUACAAGUGGCAAGGGCAAAGGUGCUUCAUUUUCUAUACAUGUAUAACCUUGUAGUUUAUACAAGGAAAUCAACAACAUAAACAUAUAUUGUAAACUAACCUCAACUGUAUCAAUUGCUUCAUUGGAGGGGAUUUCAUGUAAAACUCUGCAAUAACAAAGGAAAACACGAAGAAGGGCAAGCCAGUUGUUAAGGUGUAUUCCAUGAGAUGGAAAAACAAAUUCAAUAACCUAAGCUAUUCACUCGGAAAAGUAUAAGCCAAAUGAUGCUCGUAAAUGGUUUUCUUCUUCUUUUGUUUUUGGGUUUGGUGGGGAUGGGGGGAAACCCGAUAACUAGAGUUUUUCCAAUAACCAAGCCAAAGGAAUGAGUGUCUGAUGUAAAAAUUUCCCCCUCAUUGGACUUAUUCUGGACAAUCUUGAAAGAUGUUAUUCUUGGCACAACAGAUACAAAGUUCAUGAUCACAGCACCACUCAGACAAAUACAUGCUCUACUUCUAAGAUUAAAAUGGGACCGACCUCUCCUCUACUGCAGGACUCAGACCAGGUGCCAAAGCCAUUCCACCGAUCUAAAAACACAAACCUACAUCAAUCUUCCGGUCUAAAAGAAAUGUGAGCAUUUAUUACCUCAUGCAUACUGUUGAAUCCCACAUCGGUUGUGGAAAAGGGGUAAUAUGCCCCUUAUAUAGGCCAUAGACACUCCUCCCCUUGAGCUAGCUUUUGGGGUGAGUUAGGUCUGCCCCAAAUUUAACAUGGUAUCAGAGCCUCCCACCGAUGUUGGGCCUCCCAUAAAUAUGUCACGCACCAGUAAAAAAUUCUGGGCGUGAGGGGAUGUGUUGAAUCCCACAUCGGUUGUGGAAAGGGAUAAUGUGUCCCUUAUAUGAGCCAUAGACACUCCUCUCCCUUGAGUUAGCUUUUGGGGUGAGUUAGGCCUGACCCAAAUUUAACACAUACAAUCUGAAAUAGAACUUACCAAUUGUAUGCUACAAAACAAUUUUCUCUUGAGGUCUAUACGACCUGCCAACAGAAAACACAAACCUUUUUAAGUAUCAACAGCUCAAGAUACGAAAGUAGAGGAAUUACAUGUGAAUUUACCUGUUGAAAGGAUGCUACUGGUGAUAGCCUCUGCAACACCAACUUUCUCUUCUUUCUUAGGCUUAGAAGGGAAAACCAGAUAGCUAUCCCACAUGGAUAAUCCAACAUUAACGCCAGUAAAUAGACCAUCUGCUAUAUCAGGUCUUCUAGGGUAAUCAAUAUGCUAUGUAUUUUCCAGCAUAUCCUCGUAGUCAUGGAACCUGGUGACGUGUAGUAUCAAAUGCAGUAAUUUCUAAUUACUAGUAACUAUUGUUUCACUGAUAUAGGAAAGAAAGCUUGCGUAAAGCAAGAAAACUCGAAAACUUAAUAAUGUUCCUACCAGGAACGAGGUGGUGGAGGAUACACAUCUGGAACCAAAAGCACUGAAUAGAACAGACCUAUAGGCAGUACCUGUUUGCUAGAACCAUCAAUAACACAGUUCUCCUCAGCUAAACAUCCUUUAAGAAGAGAAUAUUAUACACAGUUUCCCUCAUAAUAGACAUACAUUAAGAGCAGUUAGCCUAGUUUUAUGAGAUCCAGAAGGUGCAACCCCCUCAUAAGAAUGUAUUACAGCUACAGCAUCAACCUCUCCCUCCUGUACAUAAAAGUAAAUUACAGAAAAAAAACGAGACACAGUUCAAAGAGUUCCUGUCAGUAACGCUACCUAUAGAGGGGUCACUAUCCAGUUCAAUAGUAAAGGUCUUGAUCAUCAUUAUCAAUGUUAAGACAAGGGUUUUGGGAGAGGCUCUAACAAUUUGGUGCAAAUACAUCACUGUUAUGAAGAGAUGUUUUGUUUUAUUCAGCCCUGUCAUGUCACUGAACUUGUAUAAAAUUUUUUAGUCUACUUCUCUUAUCAAGAAUAAACCUGUUAUGCAGUUGAGUUGUGCUUCCAAACAUCUUAUAUUGUUGAAUAAGCUUCUAACCUAUGUUUAUCUUUGAAGUUGAUAAUUUGUUUCACUCUGCAUUACUCUUUCUUUAUCCCAUCAAAUCAUCAGAAACGUAAAAUUUGAAAUUGACAAUUGCUACCUUUGCAUCAUGGUUAAGUAGUCAGUUGAGCAUCUAUGUCCAAUACACCAAACAUGGCUUUUCCUUCUAACCAUUGCAUCCCGUAACUUUAGGCCAUAAUCAUUAUCAUCUUUUUUCCUAAUCACAAUCACAUAAUAUCAUAAUUCUCGAUAGCCAUAAGUCCAACCAUGGGCUAACUUUUUCAGUUACCUCUUUUUGCUAAAUUUAUUUAUCAAAACUUCUUUCAGUAUUGCAUCAUAAACCAUAUGCCCUUUAUCAAAAUUCUGUUUAUGGUAGGGUUGUAAUUAGUUCUGCAUUGUUGCUGAUACUUAUCCCCAGGACCCCAUUCUAAUUAGAAUGGUCUGAGCUGCCAAACAUUUCUGGGAGGGCAGGAAUAAAACAAAGACUUCUCUUCUAAAAGCAACCAUGGAGACAAAAUAACUUCAUAAAAUAACUCUAAUAUGCUUUCUGUAGUGUAUCAAUUCACAGAGAGGUUACGAGGGAAGAGGAGAAAAGGUCACCUUGAUCUCACAAUAGAACUCCCUUACUCUGUUGAGCAUCAGCAGAUCAAUAGGCUUUGUCACAAUGUCAGUUGGAAUUUGGGGCCAUGUCUGAUGAUGCCUUUGAGUCCAGAGUAGGCAUCUGGAUAUAUCCUGAGGAAGCAUACUGAUCAAGCAUAAUUUAGCCACAUUUUUAUCAUAAUUAUUAUUGUUUAUUUACACAUUUUUUAGUUUAAUUUAUGGUUUUUAUCUUGUUUUUACAGAAAAUGAAGAAAUUGGAAAAUUGGAGAAAAAGUGCAGAAAAUUGACAGAAAAGUGAUUGGGUCAGUGAUUUGCCCAAAACACUCAAAUCACCAGGCAAAUCACUUAGACAGCAGAAACCUGGAGGCAACAGGCAGAAGUGAUAUGGGCAAGUGAUUUGCCCAAGACACUCGAAGACACUGGCCAAAUCACUCGCAGAAGACAGAGAGCAAAAAAACUGGACUGACUCACAGAAAAGUGAUUGGGUCAGUGAUUUUCCCAAAACACUCAAAUCACCGGGCAAAUCACCGGGCAAAUCACUUUGACAGCAGAAACUGACAGAAGAGCGGGAAAUUGGGCAGAAAACAGAAAUCCGAAUUUUCAGAAGUCCAAUUCCAACCCAAUCACUACCAACAUAAAACCAAGAGCCACGAAAGAGCUUCUCAUCCAAGAAAUUCCAAUUGCAAUUAAAUUCAACAUCAAAAGAGGAGUCAAACACCAAAUCAAAAAGGGAUUUUGAAACCCUAGAUGGAUGGAAUUCUUCAGCUAUAAAAGGAGAGCCUCCAAACCAGCAGAGGGAGCUUCUGAUCAGCUAUUGAGCCUCCUCUUCCUAUCGCCAGAAACUCUGCAGCUCUUCCUUUUUCUUUUCUUUUAGUCUUUUUGUGUAUUUAGUCCACCAUGAGUGGCUAAACUCCUUUCUUUUCUAGUUGAAGUUGGUGAAUUUCAUAUUUUGUGAUGAAUUGGGAGAUUUAAAUCUCCAUUGUUAAACUUCUAUUUAUUUCCAAUAUUUAUGCAAUUUGAUCUUUCUAUAAUUGUUACUUUGCUUUUAGAAUCAAUAAAGGCCCAUUGCUUUUAAAUUGCUUGAGUAACAAAUUGUUUGAAUGGUUUAGGUCCGUAAUUGCUUAGAUUAUUUAAACACACAUUUAAUCAAGUUGCAUAAUCUAAACUUGACCACGCGGUUGGUAAGGUUAGAAUUAGGUUUCUCUAAGUCUUAAUGCAGUUAACAGUUGUUCAAUGCCAAAGGCCCCAAGGACGUUCCUUGACAACUUGUUAACUAGUGAUUUGAUUAGCGAACGUUUCCUAAUCAAACUAAAACUAAGGAGGAAUUUGGAUUGUGAGAAGCGUCUUCCACAUCCUAAACUAAUUUAUUGGUAUAAAUAGGAGUGUUAAAGAAUCAAUGAUCAAUUCUAAACAAUCUGAAAUAAGAUCCAUACUUCAACUAGAAACUUUUCUCUUAUUGAUUUACUCAUCUUUAAAUUAUUUGCUUGCUAUUGUUAAUUAGCUUUAGUACAUCUUCAACACAAAACCCCCCUCUUUUAAUUAUUUGUUAUUUACUUGACCUAGUCAUUAUUAGGAAGGUCUUUAGUGUCAAUUCCCUGUGGUUCGACCCUAUUGCCACUAUCUGCAAAUUAUUUUGUUGAUUGAGAAUAGGUUUAUUUUUGACGGCUUCGACAACCGCCUAUCACAUACUAAUUCAACUACUCUAAGCAAACCAACACAGAAAAAAGUUCAAGGAAAAAAAUCUUUCAGGAUGAGAUAGUAAGAAAAAAGAAUGUGUUUACACAAAUAGAGGACUUGAAUAAGCAACUUAUGCAAAUGCUAGAAAAUAUAGUUCAUGAUGAUUUUCAUUUUUUAUGGAGACAUUAAGCAAAAUUAUUCUGAAUAGACUUCUUAAACCUAGCAGAUAAGUGAACAUUUCUAACGCAGAUAAGUAAUUCAGCAUCAUUAAGUAAGAGGAAAUCCCCUAGAUUUUCUUAAGGGUAAGCCUCUUUUCCUUACCCUUCGCUUGGGAAAUUCUUAGGCAUCACUUUAACGCAGUUGUCCAAAUCCAUCUCGUGAUGGAAAAUUAAUAUUUACAUUCUCUUUCAAGCAAUCCACUAAUGUAUCAUUAAUUUUUCUUUGAUUUUCCCUAAAAUUAACUUUUGUCAGCAAUAUCAUAGCUUGAGAGCAACUAUCAUCAAGAAAAGUCUUCAAAGUUAAUAAUAACUUAAUAGUGGUUAUCAGCAGAAACUGCACAAGCAAAAGGCUAAAAGGAAUACUUUUAAGGUUACAAAACAUUGCCCACUUUGAAAAAGAAAAAGGCUCAAAUUCCAUGUAAUAAAAUUUUAGCCUAGAAGUAAUAGCCAAUUCAAGUACAGUGUAGAAGUCAUUGAGUAAAAAAUAUCAUAAUGAACACAUUCCCAAAGUUUAUUCCACCCUGCCAUGGGUAAUUUAGAAUGUGGUAAAGCAAUGUAUUCCAUACUUUAUUUCAUAUCACACUUAUCAAUUGAGGUCAAGGGGUCCAUUUUAUCUUCUACUAUAAUAUAUAUUAACUGCAAGCAUAGGAAAACAUAAAAACAUCCAUUAAGGCCACAGAUGAAUUCAAGUUACAAAAAUUUACUUGGGAAUGAAGCUUAGAAACAGGUUCAUUGGUUCAGUAAUGAAUAUGAAGAUGGAAACUAAAUCCACACCUCUCCACCAAAGGGCAAAGUCUUUUCUGUAUUAGGUAGAGCUACUCCAUCCUGAACACCAAAGUUGAAAUUAGUUAAUUCUCAUAAGAGUUGCUUUGACAUCGUACUUUAAGCAUUGCCAUGUUAAUAUGACACUAACAGCUAUAACAAAAAUAUCAAGAAAAAUCUGGAUGAUUUAGAAGUCAGAAUUUACUAUAUAAAAGCAAUUACUUCAAUGCAAAUGACAGAUGUCACCUGAGCACCAACAUUUACAACACAAGCUGUUGAUAACCCAUUCCCAAAAACUGCAGCAAGGCCUUCUGACAAUCAUCUCAGAAGAUCAUCAUAUAAGAGGAGCAUACAUGACAUAAACAUAAGAGGAGCAUAUAUGACAAAACUAAACAAAUCAAUAACAAAAACCACCUACAGCAGUGAAUGGGGAAAAUUUAAUAUUGCACCAUUCUCAUCUCACAUGCCAUGUAUUAGUAUUUCUGUUCUUACUCUCAAAAUAAACAUGAAAUAAUCUAAGACUGGAAAACAACAAUAGACACAUAAACACAAGCAAAAGAAAUAUAUAUAUGAGCACAGGUAUCAAAUAUGGAUUACAAUGAAAAGUUGCAACACCAGAAACUGAAAAUAUAUCUUAAGAGCUACUAUAUAUUUUCAGAGGGAAAAUUCAGAAUAUCGAGAUGAUAAGAAUUGGUAGGCUCUUUUAGGGGAGGAAAACAGAAUUAGCUUCUUGUUGUUCACAAACGAGGCAGUUCCAUUUGCAAAAUUUUCAUUUAGUAUUACUUAUUUUAAAACAAAAUUUAGAAUUUCAAAGAAAUUUCGGUUUUUUUUUCUAAUUAUGGUGGAUAGUAUAUUCCGUUGUUUAAGACAUGAUGAUCUAAAGAAUUUAGAUGGAAAGUGUUGAAUCCCACAUCGGUUGUGGAAAGGGUAAUGUGCCCCUUACAUGAGCUAUAGGCAAUCCUCCCCCCUUGAGCUUGAGUUAGGCCUGACCCAAAUUUAACAUGGUAUCAGAGCCUCCCCGUCCGAUGUUGGGCCUCCCACAAAUGUGUCACGCACCAAUAAAAAUCUUAGGCGUGAGGGAGUGUGUUGAAUCCCACGUCGGUUGUGGAAAGGGAAUGUGCCCCUUAUAUGAGCCAUAGGCAAUCCUCUCCUUGAGCUAGCUUUUGGGAUGAGUUAGGUCUGACCCAAAUUUAACAAAAGCAUUGAAAUGCAAGCCAGUGGGGGCAACUGAAAAAGCUCAAAUUAUGGAGGGACUUCAAAACAAGAUGUAGUUAAAAAGAUCUUCAUGGCUUUAAGUGUCACAAAAGAAAUUAUACAUGGGCGGUCUUUGUAUUCUCAGUAAUGGUGGCAAAGGUAAGUUAAAUUAAAGAGUAUUAUUGAAAGUAAAGAAAAUAGAAAGCAAUAUUUUUUAAUAAAUUAGAAUAUUAUUCAACAAGAAAAUUGAUGACUACACUACAGAAUGACUUCAUGUUCAGAGAAGGAAGAAACUAAUUUGAUAUGGUGAGAGGGAAAAGUAAAAUAAAAAGACCCCAUCCAUUAUGCUUGCAUUAUUCCAAAAUCAACAGAAAUACUAAAAAUGUGCAUGUGAUGUAAAAAGCCAUGUAAUGCUUACAUAAUGAAACUUUUUUCACCGCAUGAACUACAUUCACAUGUUAGCAUCAAAAAAAAUUAAAAAUCAGCCAUUGAAUCAUUAAGGAAAGGAAAUAUCUAUAAUAAAAUUAUGAAUGACUGGCAUCGAGCCAUUUUCCACAUAUAUCUAUACUGUAUAACCAGAACCAAGAAGGCAUAAGAAUAAGAUCCUUAAACAUUUUAUACAGCAACAAGAUAACCAAAUACAGAACAUAUUAUCAAAUAAGAAUAGGAGCGUUAAUGGCAUUCUGAUGUGCAAUGAAAAGGAAAUACAAGAUUGAUAUUCCAUAAUGUCGCAUUCCAGAACACAGUGUUAAUUACUUGCAACAACCACUAACAAAAAUUAGAUAUCAAUUUCUUCUUAUUUUUGUCUUUUUCUUCCCUCCCCUUCCCCCCCCCCCCGCUUUUUUUUCUUUUUCCUUUUCUUUUGUGGAGGAAAGUCUUGAAUUUAGAUUAAAAAGGUAUCAACAUGUAAUUACCACGAUUGUCAAAUGUUUCUGACAAAACAAGUAUGGCAGCAUACAAGCUUCUUUCAGAGUGAGGGAUAUGCAAUUUCUCUACCAAUAUCCAAACCCAAAUAGCAUGAAGGUCUUCAAGCACCUAAGAAAUAAAAAGAAUAAUUAUAAAAAAUCAGAAAAUGGAGUCUCAUUAUUAAAAAAAUAAUUAUAAAAAAUCAGAAAAUGGAGUCUCAUUAUUAAAAAAAAUAAUUAUAAAAAAUCAGAAAAUGGGAUCUCAUUAUACGUAUCAGCUAAAACCUCAGAACAUAACAGAAUCUAUUUUAUGCCUGAACCAUAUCAGGAUGAUUGAGGCAAUUCCUAAUAAGAUAUCAACAGCAAAAUUUUCACUGUCAAAACACAGCAGUAACACCAUAUGUCUGCAUAUGGUAGAACUGGUAUACCUUUCUUCUCCUAGUGAAAAGAUACACAUGCAUGAAAUUAUUAAUCAUCAGCAGUAGCGACGUCUGUGUUGUGUGCAAGGAAGUUAAUCAACAGGAGGACCGCACCUGCUGCAUGGGAUAAUGUUGUGAAAUGUUCAAGUGUCCUCUGCGAAUAGGGCAGUGUAAGCAAUAUGGCUCAGUGGGGGAUAUUCUUAGUCCUUCCUCGCCACAAAUGAAACCUCUGUAUUUACGCUCACUUUUACUUGGCUCCUUAGCAUCUGUAUGUUCAUGCUUCUCCAAGGACUCACCAAUCUGACUGUCAUUUGUCGGUCUUUCUGCACAAGGAAUAUGCACCAGUUAGGCAUGCAACAAUAAAUCCAAGGUGAAAUCUGUAAUUGGAAAUUAUCAGCUCAGGAAAUAUCUAGCAAAGCAAAAUGACUGCAGUCUGGGAAAAAAGCAUAUAAAACACAGGAGUACGAUCUAUAAAUCAAAAGAAUACAUUUUAAAGGAAAUAUUAUCACAAUCACAAAAGAGCUCUCUUUUUAAGGGAUGUUAUGAUAUACUCAGCUUCCCUCUGUUUCACCCUGUCAGACAGUCUGAAUGACCCCUAGUUGCUCAAAGCAUGGAAUAUGGACCCCAGGUUUGGUCACACCAAGUCCACCAAUUGAUACCACCUACGCUGUAUGCUAAACUAUCUAAAACUAGUCUGCCUACUCAUCAAACAUGCCUAUCAGUAUGUGCAACAUACUUCACCACACUUGCAUAAAUUUAAAUUACCCAUGUUAUAAAUCUUGCAAUGAAUAUGGAAAAUAUUAUCAAAUAUUUUCAGUUCUGUCAACUAGAAAUUCAGAGUUUCAGACCCUAAUCUUGGCAUCGCUUAUAUGGCCCCACCAGUGCGACGCUCUAAUGCAAUUCCUAACUCAUUAGGCCUAAAGUACUGAUAACCAAAGCUAUCACAAACAUGAUUGCAGGAAAAUUUAGGUCACAACAAAAAUAACUAAGAAAUAACACUAGAUAAAAACAUCAUUUGAUAAGAAUUCUGAAGGAAACAGAAAGACAAGCUUGAAUAGGUGCCACCAACUGCAAUAGCAAGAUCAAAAUUUGUUUAUUACCCGAUGCCAAUGAAGAGUGCGUUUCUGGCUCAUAUACAUUAGCCCAUGUAAAAGCUAUAUCUUUCCUGCCACUCUUUGCAGCAUAUCUAUCGACGUGUCCCAUCUGCAAAAUAACCUCAAAGGUUUUAUAAGUAUCAGCAAUUACAAAGUAGUUGCCCAGCUGCGUGUAUGCAGUAUGCACUCCCUUGUCCUUUUAACUUGUAGCUACUAACAAUCUGUUCUAAGAUUUUGACUACAAAUACAUGUUUUAGCCUUUUAGGGCAAGAGGAAUACUAAAAGAAAAGCGCGGAAAUGAUUACUUUCUAUGAUUACAAGAGAAUGAGGCAUCCUUAAAAAGAGUAGAGUUAACAAAUGGUGAGGAAAGCAAAGAAAACUAUACUUCAGGAGGAUGUGGUAUUGAGGCACAAGGGUUCAUCCAAAAAUAGUACAUUAAGUCAUCAACAGUUCCUCCAUGACCCAUGGAUAGGAGUUCACACCAAGAUAUCAAAUCCCACACGAGUGACAAACUAAGAAUUGCUCAUAAAUUUCACAAAUUCAUUAAGCAAAAAAAUUGGAUGAGUUUAUUUUAUGAUAAAAAUAACAAACAAGAAGCACUGUUUCUAAUCCUACAAUAUGACAUAAGCAAAAUCUAAAUUGCGUGAAAAAUGCAGAAGAAAUCAUUUGGGCACACCUUACGUGGAAAAGAAUUGUUUGCUUUACAACCUCUUCAUCCAGAAAAGGGAUCUUCAGUAACGAAGCAAUCUUCAAGACAAGGGGAAAAAAGGCACAAAAGUAAGCAACCAUACUCAGUGUACAACAUACGUUUGUACAAACAUCUAGAAUUAUAGGACCCACAAUAACAUGUGCCUUCUCACGAUCCAUGUGCUUAGCUGUUGUGACCUGAGAAUUCAGCGUCUGGAGGAGGAGGAGCAGGGUGGUGGAGAAUUAUUAAGUAAACAUCCAGGAAAUAUUUGUUUAACCAUAAAGAAAAAGAAGAAGAAAGAUGUUAAACCUGAUCUUUAACAUUAAGUUUGGGAAACUGAUUGGUAUAACGAGAAAUGCAGUGAGGUAUAUUAAAGGGAGUGUCCUGGUGUGCUAGGCCUAUUCUGACAUUUGCAGACCCUGAGCAUCACCACCAAAACAGAAAAAUCCAAUUUCAUUGUGUUGGAGAUAAAAUUCUAAUGGGGAAUAGCAACCAAAAUUCUAAUUGGUAAAUUAAAAGAGCCAUGAUAUAAAACCAAGUAGUACAGCUAGUAAUGAUAGCAAUAGUACCAGGGUUAAUGACAACAAGAUUGGACCCUUGCUCUGUGACAAGCUGUGAUGGCACUACCGUCUUCAAGUAAUCCUGCCGGUUUCUUUUUUCCAAAAAAAAAACAAGAGUUACUGAAAUUGAAAGGAGAAAGAGAGAAAAUGCUUGUUGGAGGAGGUGAUGGUGUUGUCCCACAUACCAUGGCGAUGAAGCAGACGUCCGAGUGGAAGUUGCUACGGUCACUCAGAAUUAUGUUUUUCUUUCCGCUUCUGUUUUUCUUGUACUAAGAAAAGAGAGGGAGAGUGGCGUAAAACGACGUAGUAACAUUCCUAAUCAACUCGAGAACCUAAACGGAACGCAACGCAACGCAUAACCCACAAGUGAGACCUGGACCUUUCACAUGUUCAAGAUUUAAAAAUACUUAAUUUUUUAUAUUAAUAAAACAGUUUUCGUUGAAAUUGUUUUAAAGCAUUUUAAACAUUAAAAUGUAAAAAUUGAAAAUCAAUUAUUUUCACUAUUUAGAUUGAUCAAUUAUAGCUCUUUAAGCUCGUGUUUUAUUUGAAUAAAUAAUUUUUUAUUUUUUAUUCUGUGUGUUUUAAAUUGAGUUUAAAACUCUAAAAAUUAUUAUGGAUUUUAAACGUAGUAAGUAAAAUAAGUACUCACUCACAUUGAAAUAUAUGAUUUAUACAAAUGAUUGAAUUGUGCAAAAUGAUGAAUCAGGAUAUUUGCCUUCAUUUUCAUAAGUUUGAUUUGAUAUAUUUUAAAUCUCGAAAAAUUUUUUAUUUUAUUUAUCUUAAUUUAUUAUAUUUAAUUUUAUUAAAGAAGAGUCACCGUGAAAAGUUGUAAUUAGAGAAGUUGGAGCCAGGACUUUAAAAGUAUUGGCAGGGGCGCUGCCCCCUCCCCACCCAAAAAAAAUUCUUAAAUUUAAUUUUAAGCAUGUGUGAGUGUAAUGGGAGGAUUUUUAAAAUAUUGUUAUGUUUAACACUUUCAUUUAAUAAAAGAAAUUAAGAAUUUUUUUAUUUAUUUAACUAAAUAAAAAUUUAAUAUGUUGAAAUAAAAUAAAUUAUAAUUAUAUUUUUACUAAAUUUAUUUCUAAUUAAAUUAUAGUGUGCUUGUAGGGAAUAAAAAUAAAAGAAAGAAGAGUCGAGAAGAUGUAAAUGAUAGAAAAAAAAUAUUAAAGUUCAAAGAUUCCAACUCAAAAUUUCAAUUAUUUUUUAUAUUUUGAAAAUAUAAUAAGAUUAAUCAAAUUAUUUUUAAUUGGUAGUUAUAGUUAUUUUUAAAUGAUUAUUUAUUGAAUAAAAAAUAUUUAUUAUAUUAAUAAUUAGUUAUUGUAUUUUCUAACCAAUUAAAUGGUUAACCGAAUAUGACUGAACUCACAAUCCUCUUGGGUUAUUUAAUUUUUGAAUGUAUUUUUACUUCUAGCAAUGUAAAAAGCUUUAAUACAUUUAUUGCGAAUCAAAAGAUUAAUUUGUUUUAUUUUAUUUUUUUAAAUGUAUGAACUAAAAGAAGUUUAGAAUUCAAAUAUUAUUUACUUUUUCCCUAUUUAAAAUAAAUUAAUUGCAAUAAAAAAAUAAUAAAUUCUUAUAGGAUGAUGUAUAUUUUUUAAAAUUAAAAAUGACUAAUAAAUCUUUCAGUCAAAAAAUGAAAAUUGAAAAAAAAAACUGUGUUCUUAUUAUUUUUUUCAAUUUUAAAGUAUGAAUUAUGAAAUUUAUAAUAUUGAAGAAGGCGAAAAUUUUCAACCUUGUUACCUUGUUCCAUUAGUUUUUUCUUUAAAAAAAAAAAAUAUGCCUAUAGUUUUUUCACAUGAAUUAGGAAACUAUAAUUAAUAUAGUUAAACAACUAAUUUUAUAUUAUCUUUUCUAAUAUAUUAUCCACUUAAAUUGAAUAUUAUUCAAUUAUUAAACUAUUAAAAUUAAUUUUUUUUUAUUUAUUUAACCAUAUUUUCUAAUAAAUAACUAUCAUCUUAAAAAAAUAAUUUGAUAUGAAUAAAAAAUAAAAAAAGUUUGCGUUUAUGUAACGAAAGAAUAAUAUAUAUAUAUAAGGUGAUUAAAAUAGCGUGAUGAGACUUGCUAAAUUUAAGCUUAGGAGUGUAAUUGUAUUCAAUUCAAUUGGGCGGUAGAAAUAGAUACCUCCACCAAUGAGCUAAUUGAGCUAAUUAAAAGAAAAUGACCUUAUCAUUUUAUUUUCUUGCCUAUCAUAAAAUUUGCGUAGCUAUGAAUGCCAAAAGCAACAAACAGACUCAAUAUAGUUACUAAAUUUGUUAGGCUGCCAGGAUGUAGUUCAUUAAUUUCAGUGGAUUCUGCUUAUUUUCACAGCCAUACUGGUUUUCCAUUUCUCAAAGCACGACGCAAUUGCUGAACCAGUAGAAGUGUAUAGACAAACAAUUGUUUGUUUUUUUUUGCGGCCAUACUGUUAUUGAUGAUAUUAGUCACAUGGCCACCCCUCAACCUUCUUCAUAUCUAUGCCUUCCACUUUCCUUUCUUUCACUGGCUAAAGAAAAAAAUAAAAAAUAAUUAAAAUUUGGGUCGAACAAAUUUGAGAUGAGACAGAGCUCUCUCUCUCUGUUUUUAAUCAUGGAACUAGGGCCGAUAUCUAUGUGCGUAAAUAGAAUCGUCCUCAUUGCAGGCGAUCGUGCUAGAGAAGGAAGGUGUUGAUUCUUUUUUUCCAAACCUUUUCUUUCAAGACAAACACAAUUUUCUUUUUAAUUGAUUUUUUACGUAAUUGUUGUCGACUUGACACGUUCCAACUUCCUGCCACCAACAUUAAUUCUAAUGCUCAUAAAUACACGCAGAUCCAAAAUUAAAAACUAUUUUCUAAAAGUCUGAUUAUUAUGAAUAAAUUAAAUAUUCAUUAAUUAAGUGUUCCGGUCUGAUCUGAAUUAUCAUAUACUCAUACCAAAGAAAAAGCUAUAUCGUAAAAAGAAUAUGUGAAAAAAUUAUAUUGUUUAUUAAUUGAAUUUUUAAAUGUUAAAAAAUAUAAAAAAAUAUUUUAAAUAAUAUUUUCUAUAAAAUAAAUAAAAAUUUAAUUUAUAAUUUUUUUACAUUUUCUAAAUUUAUAAGUUUUUAUAUGUUAACAGAAAAUUAUAAAAUUUUUUCACCUAAUUACUACUUCAUCAUAAAAAAAUUAUAUUGACUAUAUUAUUAUACCAUUAAUUUUUGUAGACGACACUUUUGCGCUUCACAAUAAAAUUUACAAUUUCAUUGUGAUUUUUGUAAUUUAUACGAUAAUUUUUUGAAUGACAAUAAAUUGAAUAUUUUUAGAUAUUUAAUUCAACUGAUAUAAUAAAAUAAAAUAGAUAAUUAUAAUUAAAUUUAAAAUAAAUUUAAAUAUAAAAAUUAGUAGCGUUAUAGAUUUAAAAUUUAUAUAUAAAAUAUAAUUAUCAAAUUUAUUUAUAUAAAAUAAUUAAUUUAAUAAUAAAAUAUACUUUACAAUAAUAUUAUAAUAUUUAUGUCUUAUUUAAAAAUUAAAAUAUUUUUUUAAAUAUUAAAUUUUUUAAAUGAAAUUUAUUAAAAAAUAUUUUUAUAUAAAUUAUUAAUUAAAAUAUAUAAAUUAUUAAUUAAAAUAUAUAAAUUAAAUGAAUUUAAAUAAUUCGAGUAAUUUUUCUUUAAAUUUAAAUAUUGAUAAUAUAAAUUAAAUUAACGGUACGCUUAAUUUUCAUGGAUGCGCUAACUAUUUAUAUCACCACUGUACUACUGAUAUUAAUAUGAAAAAGAGAGUUAAAAGUCAAUUUACCAACUUAACAUUGUGAAUGACGCGAAAACCACGGGCCUAAGUCUAACACGGCGACCAUUCAAAGGCCUUUAUCCCCUUAUUCACGAAAAAUAUAGACCAUCGGAGCAUACACUCAGACGUAUUGAACUAGGAAACUCGCAUAUUUGUUGCUCCACGUAAUUAUAUGAAACAAUCUGAUUGGUCCGUCCACGUGUUUGUCUGAAUUUAAAACCGCGCCAUUUAAGUAGCGAGUUAAGUUGGCUUAUAUACUCGCGCGAUUAGGCCCACUGCGGCCUUAAGUUUUUUUUUUUAGAAGAAAUUUCACACCCUUUUUGAUGUCGUGGCUCUCUCGCUGGUAAUUCUAAAGCGCCGUCCCUCGAUUUUCCCCUUUUAUACCUCCUCGGUGUGUCGGUUUAUAUAGGUUUUGCAGAUAAACAUUUGAAGUUCGGUGUUUAGAAGUGUUGUGCCUCCGUCCUUACUGUAAUGGCUUUCGUCUCUUUCGUUGGUAGAGUUCUCUUCGCCUCUGUGUUCAUCCUCUCUGCUUGGCAAGAGUAAGCACAUCGCAGAUCUGCUCCCUCUUUCUCUUUAGAUAUUGUCAUUUUGACUUUCACGCUCUUUGGAAUAGUUUGCUUUAAGCUUGUUUGUUUGAAGAAAAAAUCGGGGGAAUGCCGAUCGGAGAAGAAAGGAGGAGAUCAUCAUCGUUAUUCUUAUUUAUCUAUGUUUAUUUAUAUUUGCACAUGGGUUAAUUAAAUGCCGUGGAAUUGCCUUUUUUUUAACAAAAAAAAUUAGGAGAGACGUUUUUAGAUUGUGAUUAUUAGUUUAGGUUUAUGUCUUGUGAAUGGGACAAUGAAGUGGCAGUGAAGAUCGGGCGAUAGUAAAACUUUUCUGGUUGAUGUGAUGUUGUUUAUCUAGGUGUCGGGUGGUUUUAUUUACUCUUCCGUACAGUCAUUGGCUUGUAUGUUGAUUUUCUACUUCUUGUUCAUCGAUGCUUGCUCUUUUUUGCAGUGUAGUGGUUUUUUGCUUUAUUGACUACGUUUUUAUGCUCUUGGUCGAGCUCCUUUUUUAGGCUCCGGAUCUGAUAGUUUCAUUCUUCUCUACUUUUUCUUUGGGGUUUUUGUGUGUGUGUGUUUGNNNNNNNNNUUAAAAGUUUAGAUUUUUCAAUGCUUUGUAUGCUCUGGACAUGUCUACAAGUACAAGGUAACAAUAAAUAAGCUAAAUUUGGUCAUAUAUGGAUGUUUUCCGCCAAUUGCUUUUCAGUCUUUAGAAAUUGAUAUAUAUGAAUCUUGGAGGGAGGGCUGGGAACUGAUAAAUUAGUAAUUUGAGUGGAUGCACAAAAGGGUUCAGAAAUAGUCAAUCAACUUGAGCAGUUGAGUUAAUUUCAAUUUUUAUUUUUAUUUUUAAAUUUUUUUUUGUCUCUGGCGUCGAAGCGUGCCUAGUUAGUUUAUUCACGUUCUUCAUUGAUGUGCACCAGUUUUCUGUUGCUUAUGAGAAUGAUUAAAGGUGCUGGUGGAAGAGAUCUCUUUUAAAUUAGAUAAGUUUUACUUGUAUAACUGUUAAUUGUUAAAAUGCUUGCAAUUUUUUUUUCUCAAUAAAAUUCCACAAGCUGAUUUCCAAAAUAUAUGAACUGAGAUAUGUGAAUCUAAAGCCUGCUAAUUUAAUAGGAAAAUGCUGAAAGUAUUGGUUGCUGCUAGUUACUUGCUCAUCUUCCAAAUAUUUUUAUUUAUGAUUCAAUUCAUUUUCAUGCUGUUAGAUUUAGAAACAUGCAAACAAAUUUGGUUUUAAAUUCGGACCAGUUGCAUACAGUCUGUUCCUCUUUUCAUAUUGCUUUACCCUGUAAUGAUGAUUUUUAUAGUUCUUGAUGGCAUUUAAAUGCUAAUGUUAUGACAUUCUACUGCUUUGCACGUCUUUUGAUCUUACUCUUCAUGUUCACCAAUUGCUUCUCAAGCACAAAGAUGCUAAUAAAUGUGUUUAGUUAUAUAACUAUCAGUUUAUUAUCCUGGCUGUUAAUUUCAUGUUGGAUCAUCAUUGUUGCUCUCGUUGAUAGGUUCAAUGAGUUUGGUAUCGAUGGUGGGCCAGCAGCAAAAACUUUUGCACCAAAGUUCAAAGUUUUCUCAAGGCACGUGUCAUCUCAUACUGGGUUUCAAGUGCCACCUGUUGAAGUUAGUGAUGCCUUUUUUUUUUGUAGUAGCAUUUGUUUUCUUAUUGGUUUUUUGAACAUUAUAACCAUUAUUGUUGUUAUUCACAGAUGAAGCAUGCAGUUGCUGCAGCAAUAGCCGUGAAGGGUGUUGGAAGCCUUCUUUUCAUCUUUGGUAGCUCUCUUGGUGCUUAUCUUCUGGUGAGUUGAUCAUAGUCUCUGUAUUCUUAUUUUGAACUGGCAGUUGACCCUUUUCAACCAAAUUAAGAGUUACGGUCUUGUGCAGCUUGUGCACCAAGCAAUUGUUACUCCAAUAUUGUAUGAUUUCUACAACUAUGAUGCUGACAAGAAAGAAUUCAAUCAGCUUUUCAUGAAGUUCACACAGGUUAGCAAUUUUAAAUAACCGUGUUGGAGUUCUUAUUUAUCUGUGUUAUUAAUUUUCUUAAUUCUGUUUCUUCAAAUGAUUCUUCUCUACUAUGUCACUAGCUCUUGUUUUUAUCUAAUAAAAAGAUUGAUGAAUGCUUAAUUUGUUUUUUUGCAGAACUUGUCACUGUUUGGGGCAUUGCUUUUCUUCAUUGGCAUGAAGAACUCAAUUCCAAGGAGACAGCUCAAGAAAAAGCCGCAGAAAUCAAAGAUAAUGUGAAAAAGGAACUAUUGACGUUGUGGAGAUUUAGCUUUCUAGACAGCUUCUUAAUGUUGAUUUUGCUGAAGUUUAGUUUUUGUAUGGUUGUAUCAGUUUUUUCUCUUUUAGAGGUUAGGGACCUAUAAUGGAGAAAAAGAAGAGGUUUUUUAAUUGUUGAGUUUGUGCUAUUGUAAUGUACUCUGCCAUUUAUGGCCACAAUUGAGGUUUAGAUGCGAAUUGCGAUCCUUUGUAAGUCUCAAAUUGGAAACGUUGUCUGUCCACUCCUGAUGGGAACUGGGGAAGUGGAGAAUCUGAUGUUGAAAUACGUUACCAGUUGUGCGUUUGUUUUGCGGGUGCUUCUGUAGGUCAUAUAAGUAGCACUCAGUAUCCCUGCUUAGUUUUCACAGUUCAUCUCUAGUUAAUGUUUUGACAAGCUGAGCUGCAUUCUCCAACGAAUUGCAAUUAUUUCUUACCGGUAGUUAGUCUGUCAUGUGUUAACUCCAAAAGAAGUAAUCAGUUGUUUUAAUUGUUGCCUGAGGCUCGUGGUCUGAACCUAAACCUCUUGAAAGAGAUGUGUUCUGAGGGGCUUCAGUUGUGCCGUUAUCUGGCGUGCCUCCGGCUGGAAUUAACCAUAGUUACAAGCUAGCAUUCAGAUAAUGACUUCCUCACGGUGCUUCUAUGAGACCAUAUUGGUGGCCAUUUUUAGCAUGGACGAGACAUCUUGAGUCUCUGGCGUGUUUUUUAAGCACAUUUGAUUUCUUUGCCAAAUUUGACACUCUAUUGCCUUAUAGUGCCAUGACUCAUUUUAAUUUAAUUAAAAAUUAAUUUAAACUAUUUAAAUUCAUUUUAUAUUUAAUUAUUAUUAUUAAAUAAAAUCAAAUUUGUUUAUUCUUAUAUAUUUUAAUUAAUAAAUAAAAAUUUUUUUAUUAAUAAUUUUUAUUUAGAAAAAUUAAUAUUUUUAAAAAUAUUUAAAUUUAAAAUUUUAAAUAUAUAAAAAAUUAUAAAUAUCAUUAUAAAAUAUAUUUUUUAUAUUAAAUUAAUUAUUUAUAUAAAUAAUUAAAAUAAUAAUAUCUUAUAAAUAAAAUUUAAUUCCAAAUAUUAUUUUUUAAUUUCAAAUUCAUCUCAAACUCCAUUAUAAAUAUUUAAAAUUUUUUAUUAUACAUAUUCAAAUUUAUUCAUUACAAUUCGGUCGGAUACUAAGCCCGAAACUACCGACCCUGUUGCCAUCCCGAAGAGGGGAAAAAAAUGAUAGGUGCUGAAUGCUUUAUCUGCCAUUGUUUGAACAGCGUUAGAGUGGAUAACUGAACAAAGAAAAAUGUCCUCCACAUUGGACCCUGAUUAUUGCCGGAAAAAUGAAUUAAAAGCUUUUGAUGACACAAAAGCUGGUGUUAAAGGACUUGUUGAUGCUGGAAUUACCCGGGUCCCUCGCAUUUUCCAUCAUCCACCUGAUGACCAUGACAAAAUUUCACACCAUGCUGCUGAAGCCAAGUUCACUUUUCCCGUUAUAGACCUUGAGGGCGUCAAUCAAGGUUCAGCUUUGCGCAAGGAGAUUGUUGACAAAGUACGACAUGCUUCAGAGACUUGGGGAUUUUUUGAAGUCAUCAACCAUGGGAUUUCUCUAAGUGUCCUGGAGGAGAUGAAGGAAGGAGUUCGUAGGUUCUACGAGCAAGAUGUUGAGGUGAAAAGUGAAUUUUUCUCUCGUGAUUUCACGAAAAAGGUUGUAUACAAUAGCAACUUUGAUCUUUACACUUCCCAAUCUGCUAAUUGGAGAGAUACUCUUACUAUUCAAAUGGCUCCUGAUCCUCCCAACCCAGAAGAGCUUCCAGCUGCAUGCAGGUAAGCAUCAAACCUUCUAAUCUCUUUAGAGUUUAGCCCCCUGUUUGGAAUUAAUAAUGUUGCUGGAAUUCAAUUCCAUUAAUUCUUUUCUUGUAGUUAUUUUAUUUGAAAUAAAAUAAUUCAAUAAUUUAAAAAAAUUAUAUAAAAAUGAUUUUGCAAGAAUUCUUCUAAAAUUUUUUUUGUAAGGUUAGGAAUUUGUUUAACGGUUGCAAAUGCAAUCAUCAUAAAAUCUUGGAAAUAUUGUGUUGAAUCUUAAUUCUGUCUUCUAAAUUAAAGGAGUAUUUUCUGAACAAAAUUAUGCAGAGAUAUAGUACUGAAGUACAGAAAGGAAGCACUGAAAUUGGGAGAUUUACUAUUCCAAUUAUUAUCAGAGGCUCUUGGUCUGAAUUCAAACCACUUGAAAGACAUGGAUUGUGCUGAGGGGCUUGUAGUUCUGUGUCAUUACUAUCCAGCAUGCCCGCAACCAGAAUUAACCAUGGGCACAACCAAGCAUUCAGAUAAUGACUUCCUCACCGUGCUUCUUCAAGACCAUAUUGGUGGCCUCCAAGUUCUUCAUCAGAAUCAGUGGAUUAAUGUUCCUCCCACGCCUGGGGCUCUAGUGGUUAACAUUGGAGAUCUUCUACAGGCAAGCCUCCUAACUUUAUUUUCACACAGAAGUGUUCCCAAACUUACUGAGAAAUAUCAUCGAGGUUGCUGCUAAACAACACUUCUGAACCCAUUUUUGCUUGCUAAGAUUGUAUUUCUUGCUGAUUUUCCAGCUCAUAUCAAACGACAAGUUCAUAAGCGUUGAGCACAGGGUGCUGGCAAACAACGUAGGACCAAAAGUAUCUGUGGCAUGCUUUUUUAGCACUGGCCUAAUGCCAAAAUCAAGAAUCUAUGGACCUAUUAAAGAGUUGUCAUCGGAAGAGAAUCCUCCGAAGUACAGAGAAACCACGGUGAAAGAAUAUGUUGCUCACUUCCAUGCAAAAGGCCUUGAUGGGACUUCUGCUCUGCUGCAUUUCAAGCUCUGAAGCCUAGAAUGACAAAUAUGUGGCCAUGUGAUCUGAUUAGCACAUCUCGUGGAAUUUGAUUGAUGUUAUUUGUGGAAUUUGAUUAAUGUUAUUUUUGGAAUUUGAUAACGAAGCUAUGCGAACAUUAUUUUGGAAUUGGUCAUAUAAACUUGAACCUGAGAAAAAUAUGCGGUGUCAUUUAGCACCUAAUCUAAAACCUUCUUCCUCUUUAUCUUGGGGGCAUUGAGAAUAUGACGUUUGUUUAAAAUCAACAGAUCAACUCGAAAAUUAUCAUUAAUAUCAUGGAAGUUAGCUUCAAAGAAAAUUAAACAAUGAGCACUUGUAAAUUAACUAUAUGUUGCAGAAGGGGAGACAUGUUUUCUGUCCGAUCCGGUCAUGGGUUGAUCCUCCCACCAUUGGAUGGGAUAUAGAUAGUUUUUGUCUGGUCCUUCUCUUGGCAGUUUGGGGCUUUAAUGAGAAUCAAUGUUUGGUUAAUUUCCAUAAUGUUGCUUUAAUUUUUUCUGCUUCGCUUGCUUUUUGAUUUGAUCUUUAGAUGCCGGUUCCCUAAAUCUGUAUGAGCAAUAGUCUCCUCUGUCUCUCAACGAAGGCCCGUUGGCCAUGGGCGGCUUUGUGUUAUACUAUGAGCCUUUUCUUUUUCUAGUCUGGGGAUAGCGAAUUAGUGGGCCUCGAUUACUUUCUUUUCCCCUUUUGUUUUUUGAAGCUCAUGAAAUUUAUAAUGGAUCUUAGGAUACCACAACUGUACUAGGCCUGAGGCCCCUUUACUAAUGAAUUAUGAUUGGGUAGUAAACCUUUUCCCCUUUCUUUCUUGAAAUGCAACUUACAAAGACUACAUGAUUUUGUAUGCUUUCAACUAUUUAGUUUUGUAAUUCGCAGUUUUGCACGGAACUGGACAUAAACAAUGAAAAUCAAGUACUCAUCAUCCAAAAUAUUCGAUUUUCGUUCGUAAUUUGGAUUGGUGUAUGAAACUUCCUAGUCGCUUCUUCUCAAUGCAAUCCCAAUCCUUGUCUCCUGCCAAGAACAGAAUGACAUCCAGUAAAUUUUAGAGACUGGGCUUAGCUGCAAACAACAAUUUUCCCAACAGGGUUUAUAGGGACAUGCAAAUUUAGAAGGUAUUGGCAGGAAUUUGCAGGGAAAUUUCCCUGCUCAAGAGCACUUCAAAUACGAUAUGGACAUGCUUCCAUCUGUAAAACUUGCUCAUCAGUCUCCGGAAGGUCAAUCGCAGUGGAGGUAGUUGUAUCGAGUCUUGUUAGUGGGUGAGACUUCUAAACCUAGUUCCUCAAUUGACCCAAACCAACUUCUUUUCAUCUUGCAAUUCUGAUACUCAAAUCGUUUAAUUUUGGUAUGAAUUGAUCUUCCUUGAAAUUAAUUAUUACGGUGUAAUCGUGACAUCAAUUUUUUUUUUCUUUUUGUCAUUUACUCAUUGCGGAUAUUUUAAACCUGUAAUGCAUUUAAAUAAAUGGUCACUUGCAGAAUCAUCAUUCAAUCAUUCGCAGGUCUCCAAAUCAGCUUAAUGGCGUCGAAUGGUGCAAAACAGCCCUUGAUGUCUGAAACAAAUAACGCAUUUGCUCCCAAGAAAAGAAAUUUUCUCUAUGUUAAAAGUGCUCCUCUAGCAAAGUUUGUUUUUUCAGAAUUUGGCAGAAAAUUGCCUCCAAGUGCUGAAUCCAUUUUUGGGAAGCUGCACACCAGUUUCAGGGAAGUGGCCAUCUUACUGGCUGUCUACUUGGGUAUUGGGACCUUAUGCUUUUCCUUUGUCCUGGAUGAUCUGAAAGGGAAGAAAACAACUCCAAUUAUUGAUGCUUUAUAUUUCUGUGUUGUGACAAUGACCACUGUUGGAUAUGGGGAUCUAACGCCUGAUACCAGCUUUGUAAAGAUACUUGUUUGUGUUUUUGUCUUCAUAGGGAUGGCAAUUGUGGGAUUAAUAAUGAAUAAAGUUGCAGAAUACUUGGUCGAGAAGCAGGAAUUAAUGCUGGUUAAAGCACUUACUAAGCAUCAAAAAAAUGAUCCAUCUAAAAUCACAGAGACAGAAUUCAACAAACCGAUGUUCAAGUGUCUUUUGGCCAUGGCCAUUCUUUCAGUGCUUAUGAUGAUUGGAACCAUAUUCUUACUCGUAAUUGAAGAUUUAAACAGCAUUGAUGCCUUAUUUUGUGUAUGUUCAACUGUGACGACCCUGGGCUUUGGAGACAAGAGUUUCUCAAGUGCAGGUGGCCGUGCUUUUGGUAUACUGUGGAUACUGAGCACUACUCUUGGUAUGGGCCAGUUUUUUCUCUACGUUGCGGAGCUAUUCACUGAAAGCAGACAAAAGGCACUGGUAGACUGGAUUCUUAACUGGAAGAUGACCAAUCUUGAUCGUAUUGACAAUAAUGGAGUAGUUGGGUAAGAAAAUUUUGGUUUCCUUAUAUUCAUUAUUAUCAAAUGUACAUGAAUGGAGAUGGUUGUUUGUAUCAUUGAUUUUCUUGACAGGUCUGCUGAGUUCAUCAUAUCGAAGCUUAAAGAGAAGGGGAAGAUUGGGGAAGAAGAUAUCUCAGUUGCCUUGAAAGAGUUUGACGUUCUUGAUGUUGGUGAAAUUGGAAUCUUGUUAGCAUCUCAUUUAGUACGUGCUAAAACUGCUCAAAGGAAGUGAUAUGAGGCAAUGAGAAGUGGCUAUUAGCUUUGUAAAAAUUUUAUAUAGAAUUUAUGUAUUUUCCGAGUGUCUAUUCAUAGAGACCACAGUAGUUGUGCUUCCCUGGUCCGGGGCUGUGCGCUUUUCUACAAGCUAGCAAGCUAGCAAGCUUGCAAAUUUAAUUUUCUAGUUGCCUUGUUUUAAUUUUAUCUUUUGCCAAACCAAUUAUGAAAAUAAAAUUUUAAAAUUAAUUAAGAAGAGUAAGUUUAUUUUUCAUUCCACUUCGGUGAGAUAGCGAAAUGGGCCUAAUAAAGUAGAAAUGGGCCAAUGGCAUGCUGGACCCGAAGCCGUAACAAAUUCAAUAUGUUAGACUUGCUCAUAAUUUGAGCAAACUUAAUCUCUGCUUAGGUAAAUAUUUUUGUCUUCGUAUUUUCAUUGGGUGGCCAGAUUGUUCACAUUUUACUUUUGUUUUUUUUUUUCAAUGAAACUUUCAUUCAUAGUGUUUCAUAAAAAAUUAAAUAACUCGUAUUAAAUUACUGUUAAGUCUAAUAAAUUUUAAUUUUAAUCAGGGAUAAUAUUGAGAAAUUAAUAAAUAAACAACAAUAACAAAAAUAAUAUAAAACUUGAAACACAUGAAAAAAAAACCCUUGUAGAUAAUUGUUUUUGGUAUAAUUAAAAACAUGCCCAUUAUUAUUAAGCUAAACACAAUUAAUGCAACUUUAUUUAGCUGAUUAUUGGAGUCAAAUUUAAACUCACACUCAAACUCAACCGUCGUUAAUAUUGAGAUGUAUCUUUCCGUCAGCGAUGCAUAUUUACGGCAAACUUAUCCCACCGGCAACAGAGUUGUGGAGUGCCGACUACAUCUGUAAUUUUAUCGUUAAUGUAACUUUUUUUAUUUUAUAGACAUAAAAAAAAUACAGCGCAGAUAGAUAUAAUGAUAAAAAAUGCUUAUAUUAAUUUUUUUCAAUCAGUAAAAAUUAAAAAUUAAUUGGUCGGUAGGAUUGUACUAUUAAAUCCAAUCAAUUCGAACCAAAUCAAACUAAAUAAAUCUAAAAAAAUUACAUUACGGGUCAGUUUAAAAUAUUUUAUUUAAAUUUCGUUAAUUUCUCUAUCGGUUUGAAAGAAACCAUUACAACCAGACGCUUCACCUAUCAUUCUAUUCUCUAUGCAUUGACUUCAAAUCUCUUCACAUGGAUUUCAAAUCUCUUCAAAUUAAUUAUCUGUCUAGAUUGUUGAUCCAUCCUAUCUUCAUUGACUUCAAAUCUCCGGUGAAUUCAAGUUAACACAAACCUCUAAAGACUUCAAGAUAUAUAUGAUUGUUGAUAUCAGAAUCUUUUUCUUUUAUUUUCUAUUCUUUUUCUUUGUGGGUUUUAUUUCAUUGUUUUUGAGACUUUUAUUUGUAAUGAUUGAAUUGAUUGUUCUUUUUAAUUUUAAUUGCAAUUUCAGUUUGUUAUCCUUGCUAUCGCGGAGUCUCUUCAAGUUUUAUUCAAUUGCUUGCUUUCUUAUAGUAAUUGUGAUAGAAUUGAGUUUUUAAAUAAUAAUGAUUAUUUUCUUCUCAUAGUAAUUGUAAUUUCAGUUGAUUGAAUUGAUUGGAUUUUUUUUUUUUUUUAAAAAAAAAAAAACUUAAUUGCAAUGGAAUUUCUAGCAACCAGUUGUUGGGAGAUGCGUUCAAUCAAUGGUUUACCUGUUUGUCUUUUCAUUAUCUGCUCAAUCAAUAUAAUUUUAAUGUAUAUGGUUGCUUCAUUUGCUUGUUUUUUCAUUUAAUUGACUCCUGAGUAUUUUAAGGGUUGAAGAGAAUAGGAGCUUUGAUCAACGUUACAUGGAGAUAUGUUCAUAGAUAGACAAAGGUCACUUAGGUUCAGUUGAUCACAAGUGAUAGGCCCUAGUAUAUGUGUAUUGUAUUUUGGUGGUUAUUUCAUGCACUGAAUUAAAUAUCUAGCUUUUGUGCCUUAGAUUAUUAGAAUUACUAUUGGGUGGUUUUAAUUUACAGUCAUCUACAUUUGGGGUAACUAUUCCAAGGAAGGAAAAAUACCCAUUAGAAAAAGGGAUUCCAAACGAGGCUAGUUAUAUUAGUUCAGCUUCUUCCAGUAGUGCAGUUUGAAUAUGUCACUAUUGUUAUUUUAUAUAGAAGAAGCAUGUGGUCUUGGCUAAGCAAAAACCUUAUUAUUUAUAUGUCUACUUGUUGAUUUAGUAAGUUGAUAGAGACAUGAGGCCAUGUUUUUCCAAUGUUGCUUUUGCCUUUUUCUUUUGCAUUGUUCCCUUCGUAAAAGAGACUUUUUCUUUCCACACAUCAGCAUUACCACCUUUUGGUUUGGAAAAAAAAAAAGGAUUCAGCAUGUGGAAUUGGAGUUGAUGAUAAAGCAUGCAUGGAGAUAUAGGCUUUAGUUUGAUGAGUACCUAACUAUGAGGCUCUUGUGAUUUGGCCUUGAUGAUUCUUUUUUUUUUUCUUUUUCCUUUCUUUUAUUUCUAUUCCUCAUUUCUCAUCAGCCUAACAAAGAAUGAAAAACAACACUCCAGCUUCUUGGUUCAAUGGUGGCUGAAAAUCAAAACAGUAGUUUUGUUUUUAGAAAAGCUGAAGCUUUACUGGUCAACACAGAUCCAGUCUUCCUUUUAUGGGUGAAGGCUGAUGUAUGAGAGAGUCUGUUAAAUUUAAUUAACUCAUGAUUAAACUUCACACAACUACCCCUAAGCCUUACGGGUGAAGACUUAGCAAUAAACAAAUAGUUCUUUUAGGAAUUUUCGGUGCCCAUGAAACCAUUAAAGCAUGCUUGUGACUGGUGCAACUACUCUGAGCAGUUCACUUUGCAAUUUUCCCGUUUGCAUUUCUAUCCUUUUCUACUCUACGAUUCCUAUCAACUUUUAUUUUUAUUUAUUUAGUUUUCACUAGCAAUUUCACCCCUAAUUAUCCCAUGAUCACUUAGGAUUUUCCCAUUCUCCAGUUAAAUCUAGUUGAACCUGACCCAUAAAGUUGGAUGAGAAAAACAAUAUAAGGAAAUAUUACUACUAAAUAAAUGAACUUCAAAUUACAAGUAUCAUUUACUCUUUUUUUAGCUAUUUUAUUUUGACCAUGAAACUUUUAUCAUUGAGUUGAAUAUGGGUGUAAUAGCAAAACCUACACAGCCCCUUCAGGUGUACGAAAAAAAAGGGAAAAAAUAAAUAAAAUAAAAGUAAAAGUAAAAGCCAUGGAUGAGAGAAGGUAUCAGAGUUUCAUUGAACUCUGCAAUGUCUUUCUUGUCCAAUUCAAUAUUGUCUAUCAUUUGCUUUAAUUUCCUAGCUAGGGCCUAUCACUUGUGAAAUGAGUAGGUGGAGGUUGAUUUUUAUUUCUUUCUAUACACUUAUCGUUGAUUUUAAUACUUAGUAAUUUUUUAUUGAUUAUUGUUUUGUAAUUUUUUUUCUAGAUGGAUAAUGAAGCUAAUUAGGGUACUUCUUAUAUAUUAUUAUACUUUAAUUCUCUAUAAGAGGGCUAUUUAUAUUUAGCUAUAAUUUUAACUAGAAUACUAUUUAUAUUUAUUCAUAAGUUUAACUUAUUUGCAAUACACGGUCUAGAAGAGUUUAUAAACAAAAAUAAUACAAAAUAUCUUUAAAAAAUUUAAGUUAAACUAAAUCAGGACAAACAAUGCCUACAAUUUAAAAUACUGCUUUUUAGUCCUUCGUUAAUUAAAUCGUUAUGUCGAUCGUUAGACCCUAUAUUGCUCAUCAGAUUAUUCUACCAUCUUGUCGUCAGUUGAUGGCAUUAGACCAGUCACUAAAUCACCCUUACACUUACUAUACUUUGUCUGGUUAUCCACCAAGUCGUUUGGCUCUCCACCGUCUUGUCAUCGGUUGAUGACAUUAGACCAGUCACUAAAUCACCCUUACAUUUUCUAUAUUUUGUCUGGUUAUCCACCAAGUCGUUUGGCUCUCCACCAUGUCGUCAGGUUUACAGCUCGUCUAGUUAUCCACCAAAUCAUCAGGUGUAUACUUCGUCUAAAUUGUUAGGUUUAUACCUUGUCUAAUCAUUCGUCGGGUCUACGCACGCCUCGUAUCCUCCUACAUUGCAAUGACUUUUACCUAAUAUUUUUUUUUAAAGUUUCCAUAAUCAUGCCAGCCAAGGGUUGGUAAUUAAAUUUUAUUAGUGUUUCUAUUAUGUGGGUAAUGUAAUACAUAAAUUUAAUAUUUUUUAUUUUCAUUUAAAUAUAGUAAUGUGGAGAAUUAAUUUUGUUAUUAUUUUUAUUUUUUAAUACAUGAUAUUUUAAUUUUUAUUGUAUAUUAAGUUAUUUACAAAUUAUUCAAAUUUGAUGGGAAAUGAAAAUUUCAAUAACAUUAAACUUAGAAAACUUUUUCCAUUUGAUAGUUGGAAACCGACCCUCUAUUUUUACAAAUUUUUCUAUUGAGUUGGUCGGUUUGGUAAUAAUUUGAGGUCCAGGUACAAUAAUUAAAAAAUUCCUCCAAAUCAACUGUUGAACAGUACUACUGGUCGGUUGACGCUAACCACAAAUAUUAGCAAGCUUCGAUAUAUUUUCUUAUUAAAACAGAUAUUGUUGCAGUUAACAGUGAAAUGGUGAUCACGAAGGCAAGCGAAACUCAAAUGGAAACUCAGUCCAAUUAUGACAGGAAAAGCGAGUUAAAAGCCUUUGAUGAUACAAAAGCAGGUGUGAAGGGACUUGUAGAUGCUGGUUUAACAAAGAUUCCUCGUAUAUUCAACUGUCAACAGUUUAUUUUCCAGCAUAGCUCAAAAACUGCAUCAGAUCAGCACAACAUUCCUGUCAUAGACCUUAAGGGGAACCUUGAAGUUUCAUCUUUCGAGGCAGACAUCAUUGACAGAGUUCGAAACGCAUGCGAAAAUUGGGGUUUCUUUCAGCUAAUCAAUCAUGGGAUUCCAAUUAAUAUCAUGGAUGAGACCCUCAAUGGAGUUCGU